rnacentral:lncRNA from 1 species
UGUUUUUUUCUUUCUGAAUAUUAGCUUUCUUGCGGCAAAAGAAGAGCGCCAACCGCCUUACGGUGGGCUCACGAGGAUAGGGGGCGCGCCCUAAGGGGGGGCGCCCCCCUGCCAUGUGACCACCUCGGGCCCUGGUUCGCGUUGAUUUUCCUUCCGAAUUUUCCAUAUUUUCCAAAAAUAAGCUCCGUCCGUUUUUGUCCCGUUUGGACUCCGUUUGAUAUGGAUAUUCUGCGAAACCAAAAACAUGCAACAGACAAGAACUGGCACUGGGCACUGGAUCAAUAUGUUAGUCCCAAAAAUAGUAUAAAAAGUUGCCAAAAAGUAUAUGAAAGUUGAAGAAUAUUGGCAUGGAACAAUCAAAAAUUAUAGAUACGACGGAGACGUAUCAGCAUCCCCAAGCUUAAAUCCUCCUCGUCCUCGAGUAGGUAAAUGAUAAAGAAGAUAAUUUUUGAUGUGGAAUUCUACCUAGCAUAAUCUUGAUCAUAUGUCUAAUCAUGGCAUGAAUAUUAAGAUACAAGUGAUUCAAAGCAAUAAUCUAUCCUUUGACAUAAAAACAAUAAUACUUCAAGCAUACCAACCAAGCAAUUAUGUCUUAUUGAAAUAACAUAGCCAAAGAAAGCUCAUCCCUAUAAAAUCAUAUAGUCUGGCUAUGCUCCAUCUUCACCACAUAAAGCAUUUACAUCAAGCACAACCCCGAUGACAAGCCAAGCAAUUGUUUCAUACUUUUGACGUUUCUCAAACCUUUUCAACUUCCACGCAAUACAUGAGCGUGAGCCAUGGACAUAGCACUAUAGGUGGAAUAGAAUAUGAUGAUAGGGGUUAUGCGGAGAAGACAAAAGGGAGAAAGUCUCACAUCAACUAGGCGUAUUAACGGGCUAUGGAGAUGCCCAUUAAUAGAUAUCAAUGUGAGGAGUAGGGAUUGCCAUGCAAGGGAUGCACUAAGAGCUAUAAGUUUAUGAAAGCUCAAACUGGAAACUAAGUGGGUGUGCAUCCAACUUGCUUGCUCAUGAAGACCUCGGGCAUUUGAGGAAGCCCAUCAUCGGAAUAUACAAGCCAAGUUCUAUAAUGAAAAUUCCCACUAGUAUAUGAAAGUGAUAACUCAAGAGACUCUCUAUAUGAAGAACAUGGUGCUACUUUGAAGCACAAGUGUGGUAAAAGGAUAGUAACAUUGCCCCUUCUCUCUUUUUCUCUCUUUUUUGUUUUGUUUUUCUUCUUUUUUGGGCCUUCUCUUUUUUUCUUUUGGCCUUUCUCUUUUUUUUCGUCCGGAGUCUCAUCCCGACUUGUGGGGGAAUCAUAGUCUCCAUCAUCCUUUCCUUACUGGGGCAAUGAUCUAAUAAUGAUGAUCAUCACACUUUUAUUUACUUACAACUCAAUAUUACAACUCGAUACCAGAACAAAGAUAUGACUCUAUAUGAAUGCCUCCGGCGGUGUACCGGGAUGUGCAAUGAUCUAGCGUAGCAAUGACAUCAAAAAAUGGACAAGCCAUGAAAACAUCAUGCUAGCUAUCUUACGAUCAUGCAAAGCAGUAUGAAAAUAAAUGCUCAAGUCAUGUAUAUGAUGAUGAUGGAAGUUGCAUGGCAAUAUAUCUCAGAAUGGCUAUGGAAAUGCCUUGAUAGGUAGGUAUGGUGGCUGUUUUGAGGAAGAUAUAAGGAGGUUCAUGUGUGACAGAGCGUAUCAUAUCACGGGGUUUGGAUGCACCGGCGAAGUUUGCACCAACUCUCGAGGUGAUAAAGGGCAAUGCACGGUACCGAAGAGGCUAGCAAUGAUGGAAGGGUGAGAGUGUGUAUAAUCCAUGGACUCAACAUUAGUCAUAAAGAACUCACAUACUUAUUGAAAAAAAUCUAUUAGUCAUCGAAACAAAUUACUAUGCGCAUGAUCCUAGGGGGAUAGAUUGGUAGGAAAAGACCAUCGCUCGUCCCCGACCGCCACUCAUAAGGAAGACAAUCAAUAAACACCUCAUGCCCCGACUUCGUUACAUAACGGUUCACCAUACGUGGAUGCUACGGGACUUGCAAACCUCAACACAAGUAUUUCCCAAUUUCACAAUUACUCGACUAGCAUGACUCUAAUAUCACCACCUUUAUAUCGCAAAACUAUUGCAAGGAAUCAAACAUAUCAUAUUCAGUGAUCUACAAGUUUUAUGUAGGUCUUUAUGACUAACCAUGUGAAUGACCAGUUCCUCUCAUCUCUCUAAAUAGAUAUAAGUGAAGCAAGAGAGUUUAAUUCUUUCUACAAAAGAUGUGACCGUGCUCUAACAAAUAUAAGUGAAGCAAAAGAGCAUUCUACAAAUGGUGGUUUUCUAAGUAAAGAGAAACAGGCAAUCCAAACUUCAAAUGAUAUAAGUGAAGCACAUGAAGCAUUCUAUAAAGCCAUACUCAAAAGAUAUAAGUGAAGUGCAAAGAGCAUUCUAUAAAUCAACCAAGCACUAUCUCAUACCAGCAUGGUGCAUUAAAAGAAAAUAGAAAACUAAAGUAAAAGACGCUCCAAGAUUGCACAUAUCACGUGAACGAAAACGAAUAUGAAAACAUACCGAUAUUUGUUGAAGAAAGAGGGGAUGCCUCCCCAGCAUCCUCAAGCUUAGAUGCUUGAGUCUCCUUGCAUAUUUACUUGGGGUGCCUCGGGCAUCCCCAAGCUUGAGCUCUUCCCUCUCUUCCUUCUUCUCACAUCGAGACCUUCUCGAUCAUCGAACACAUCAUCCACACAAAACUCCAACAGAAAACUCGGUAAGAUCCGUUAGUAUAAUAAAGCAAAUAACUACUCUAAGUACUGUUGAAAACCAAUUCAUAUUUUGUUUUUGCAUUGUGUCUACUGUAAUAUAACUUUUUCAUGGCUUAAUCCACUGAUAUAAAUUGAUAGGUUCAUCAAAACAAGCAAACUAUGCAUCAAAAACAGAAUCUGUCUAAAACAGAAUAGUCUGUAGCAAUCUGAACAUUCACCAUACUUCUGAUACUUUAAAAAUUCUUACAAAAUUAGGAACAAUAAACAAUUUGUACAGAAAGACAGUGCAAAAAGAAUCAGAGCCAUUUGACGUUCCGGUAAAAAGUUAAAAUCCGCGCACUACAGCCAAAGUUUCUGUCCUGCACUGUACAAACCAACAAGCAUCGUAAACAUCCUAAAGGCAAACCUUGGCACAUUAUUUUUAUAAUACAAUGGAAUUGUACAAUGGGAUAAUUAUUUUUGUUUAAAAGUUUCUAUAAUCAAGAUUCACAAAGUUUCCGUGAGCAUGAACAAAGUUCAAGGCUAGCUCCCACUUCAACAAUGCUUGUCUCUAUCACUUUCACUUUCCUUUUUGAAAAAGUUUUGGGUUCCCCUCUUUAUUUUUGUUGUUUUUAAACUAUAUAAAAGCACUCAACAGAAAUAAAUGACUCUCUAAAACUUCCGGGGUGUCUCCCUGGCAGCGCUUUCUUUAAAGCCAUUAAGCUAGAAAUGUAGUGCUCAAGUAGUGAAUCCACCCGGAUCCCAAGGUAUAUCAAAGCCAUUUUGAAUCAACAAUCAUUUGUAAUUUAGUGGUGAGCACAAGGUAACAUAUAUCAUGUAAUGACGAAGUCUAACUCUCUUCCUAUGCAUCGGCAUGUCAUAAAAGAACAAUUCAUGCACACAAAGUAAAGGCCAAUGCAUAGUAUAAAUAGUUUCUUGCAAUUUUAUCAUAUUGGAAACAUAGAGAGGUGGAGAUAUACUUCCUCUCUCAUAAUAAUUGCACGUAGGAGCAGCAAGCACAUGCAUAUUAUAUUCAUCAAAAUCAUCAUGUCCAACGGUAAAAGGCAACCCAUCAAUAUAAUCUUUAAUAAAAGCAAACUUCUCUGAUAUAGUGUAAUCAGGGGAAUUCAAAAAGAUAAUAGGACUAUCAUGCGUGGGUGCAAUAGCAACAAUUUCAUGUUUAACAUAAGGAACUAUAGCAAGUUCAUCUCCAUAAGCAUAAUUCAUAUUGGUAUCUUGGCCACAAGCAUAGCAAGCAUCAUCAAAAAGGGAUAUUUCAAGAGAAUCAACGGGAUCAUAAUAGUCAUCAUAGCAAUCAUCCUUCGGUAAACACGAAGGGAAAUUAAACAAUGUAUGAGUUGAAGAGUUACUCUCAUUAGAAAGUGGGCACGGGAAGCUAAUCCGCUCUUUCUGCUUUUGUUCUUCGCUCUCCUCAUCAUCUUUUUCAUCCAAUGAGCUCACAGUAUCAUCAAUUUCUUCUUCCACAGACUCCUGCAAAAUAUUAGUCUCUUCUUGGACUGCGGAGUAGUUCUCAAUAUAUGGUUUAACAUAAGCAUUAGAAGCAUAAUUAUCAUAGCAAUAUUUAAGUAUAGCAAAAUUUUCAGAUUUGUGAAAAGUAGCAUCAUACUUUUCAAUCAAAGAAGCAAUUUCAUAAGCACCCUUAAAAGCAACAAAUUCUUUAAUUUGUUGAACAUCAUAGUAAUUGUAAACACCCUUAGCAUACGAAGAUACAAUUCCAUUAUCACUAAACUCACAUUGAUAGGGAACGUGUUUCUUAGGGUUUUCGGAGCAACAAGUAAAAUCAUAAAUUUCACAUAAAUUCCAAGCAUAGCAUUGCAAACGACGAAUUUAAGCCAAUAGAAUUUUCCCUUUUUUCAGAUAUUCGGUGUCGCACAUAACAAGCAUGCUCAUCUAAGGAUUUUCCCUCAACUAAGCUAGUUUGGGUUUCAGCAUGAGCACAUAGGGAUCGAAGAUGAUCCAAGUAAUAAGCUUCAGCAGUGUGAUAGAUUUUGAGUGGUUCUUCAACCAUUGGUUCAGUAGGUACAACUAAUUUUUUUAGUAUUUUGCGUUUCCUACCCAUAACUAAAGAUAGAAAACAACUAAGAACAGCAAAUAAAAAUUACUUAGUGAUAAAGCAAACAAGCACACACGAGAAUAUUCACCCCACGCUAUUGCUCCCAGGCAACGGCGCCAGAAAAAGGUCUUGAUAACCCACAAGUAAAGGGGAUCAAUUGUAGCCGUAGCCUCUUUCGAUAAGUAGGAGUGUCGAAACCAACGAGGAGCUAAAGGUAGAACAAAUAUUCCCUCAAGUUCAACCGACCACCGAUACAACUCUACGCACGCUUGACGUUCGCUUUACCGGAAACAAGUAUGAAACUAGAAGUACUUUGUAGGUGUUUUUUGGUAAGCUUGCAAGAAAGUAAAGAACACAAAAAUAAAAGCUAGGGGCUGUUUAGAUAAAGAAACAACUAAAUUAGUUUUAGUAGAGAGCUUUUGUCAACAAGAAAGUUAUUUGUCCCUAGGUAAUCGAUAACUAGACCGGUAAUCAUUAUUGCAAUUUUAUUUGAGGGAGAGGCAUAAGCUAACAUACUUUCUCUACUUGGAUCAUAUGCACUUAUGAUUGGAACUCUAGCAAGCAUCCGCAACUACUAAAGAUUGAUUAAGGUAAAACCCAACCAUAGCAUUAAAGUAUCAAGUCCCCUUUAUCCCAUACGCAAACAACCUACUUACUCAGUUCUGUGCUUCUGUAACUCACGCCACCCACCAUAAGCAAAUCAUAAGCAUAUUGCAAACCCUACAGCGGGAAUCCCUCAUGCUUGCGCGACACGGAUAACACCAUAGGACAGCACCAAUAAUAAAACAUACAACUCAAACCAAUCACGAUCAUCAAAUAGCCAUUAGGACAAAACAUAUCUACUCAAACAUCAUAGAAUAGCCAUACAUCAUUGGGAAAUAAUAUAUAGCGUUGAGCACCAUGUUUAAGUAGAGAUUACAACGGGUAAGAGAGAAGUUACACCGCUUCACAAAGGGGGGAAGAGUUGGUGAUUAUGGCGGUGAAGUUGUUGGUGAAGAUGGCGGUGAUGGUGAUGGCCCCGGCAGCGCUCCGGCGCCACCGGAAGCAAGUGGGAGAGGGCCCCCCUUCUUCUUCUUCUUCCUUGACCUCCUCCCUAGAUGGGAGAAGGGUUUCCCCUCUGGUCCAUGGCUCCCAUGGCAUGGGAGGGGCGAGAGCCCCUCCGAGAUUGGAUCUAUCUCUCUGUCUCUCUCUGGUUCUGCGUUCUGUCCUGGCUCUGUUUCACCGUUUCGUAUAUAUAUGGAGAUCCUUAACUCCGAUUGGCCUGAAACCUUCGCCUUGAUUUUUUUUCCGAAUAUUAGCUUUAUUGCGGCAAAAGAAGAAUAAGGGUAGGGGCGCGCCCUAAGGGGGGGUGCGCCCCCUGCCUCUUGACCACCUCGGGCACUGGUUCGCGUUGAUUUUCCUUUCGAAUUUUCCAUAUUUUCCAAAAAUAAGCUCCAUCCAUUUUUAUCCCGCUUGGACUCCGUUUGAUAUGGAUAUUCUGCGAAACCAAAAACAUGCAACACAUAGGAACUGGCACUGGGCACUGGAUCAAUAUGUUAGUCCCAAAAAUAGUAUAAAAAUUUGCCAAAAAGUAUAUGAAAGUUGAAUAAUAUUGGCAUGGAACAAUAAAAAAUUACAGAUACGACGGAGACGUAUCAGCGCCUGUAGUCCGUAGUGGUCCAGGACCUCGAAGAAGAAGUCAGAAAAGGGGGGAACCAGCCCCGUGACGAUGCUGCUGGUAAAGAAGGGGAAGAAGUAGCUUCCCUCGGGCUCCGGCACAUCGGAGCCGGCCCGGAGCCCGGUCUUCCCCUUCUUGUUGCUUUCCCCCACCGUCAGCAAGCGAGUGGUGGCGAGGUUCUUCUCUGAGACAUUAGGCGCGUCGAGGGAUGGCUCAUACGAAGCCGACGACGAGGCGGGCUUGACCCUCUGGGGCGCCAUUGGUCGCGGAUACGGGAAAGGAUGGGAGUAGAUCUGGAGAUUUCGGAAGCAGGGAGCAAGAAGGGGAUCUGCAGCAAUGAGAAGGCAAGCAGUGAAGGCAAGCACUGUCUACGCCAGCUUUUGGACAGUCGAGCAGUUGCCGAGGCAACAUGGGGAAGCGGAGACGCCCAUGUCCAAUCAAGCACCACACGUCGACCAAGGCCGCUGGCUAUUGGGGCCUGCAGAGCUCCGCACUUGACCUUUGGCUUCGCCUCGAUGCCAAGCCCGAGCGUGCCUUGGGCCCGGGGGCUACUGUCGACGUUCUGGGAACGGGGGCCCCCAGACUUGCCUGCCUGCGGCCCACAUCAUGGCUCUGUGAGCGGGUCCAAACGGCCCAUCUUCACCAACAAGCACCCAAGACCCUCGCGAGGGGGAGGACACAAGACCUCCUCGGGAGCGCCCUCACCAGGCUGGCUCGCGAGGGGCAGAGAGUUCGAGGCAAGGCAAACCUCGCAAGGUUUCAAUGACGUGAGCCAUGAUGAUCAAGAUCAGGCGGGCGCCAGCGUGCAUAGUGUCCUUAUUUCCUCUUUGGUGCUAAGGAAGCAAGCGCAGGCGCGGAGUAUCGAGGCUUCAAGCAAAGGUUUCCAUAUCAUUGCAACGAGACCAUGACCAGCAGGACGGCAAGACGAAGGUCACCAUGGAGCCCAAGGCGGCGUCACCACCAGAGCCUUUUGCAGGCGAAGACUGCUUUUGUCAGGAUAAGCUGUACUAGCUGUCCCCUUUCAAAUUGGCCGUUGUUGGCUCCUUUCCCACUCAAUAUUUGGGGAGAGGACCAGGGCCUCUAUAAAUAGGACUAGCCACCACCGUAGCUAGGGAGGAGAUCCGAACAACCACAAGUUCACCAAGAACAAGAACACCUCUCCUUAGGAGGCUGUUCUUCCCCUUGUAUUGUUCAUCCCUAGCCCAAGAGGCAAUCCACCACCACCACACUGGAGUUAGGUAUUACACCACAACGGUGGCCCGAACCAGUAUAAAUCUUGUGUCCCUUGGGUUGCACGUUCGUCGAGUUAGCCCUUGAGAUCUUAGCGAAGUUAGGACGUGGAUUGGUAGGGGGAGAUCUUCGCGCGCACCCCAGUGUUUGAACCUUGAGGGUUUUUGCUGGAAUCCGAGAUCCGACAUUAAGGUCCCCCCCCUUAGUAGCGGUUCAGCACGAACCGUCACUAAAGGGCCACUACGUGGCACAAGCCAAUGCCAGGGGCGGGGAGACCUUUAGUACCGGUUGGUAACACCAACCGGUACUAGAAGUUUUGGGGGGUUUUGGGUUCAUGAUUUCUUUUUGCCUUUAAUUUUGUGUUCUCCAUUCAAUUAUUUUUCAUUUGCUGGUAUUUUAGAUACUACAUAUUAUACAUGUUAUGCAUAUAUAUAAAUAGAAUUUCUCAUAGAACCGAUCAUAUAUAUAUAUAUAUAUAGGUAAAACUGUGUCUAUCAUAGCUUGCCACAGAACUAGUUCAGUGUCCCUAAACUUUGAACAGUUCAAAAGUUAUCAAAAAAUAUGAAAUAAAUAUGGAAGCAUCUCUCUAAUGUAAUAAGAUGAUCCAACAGAGGGAUUGUCAAAAUAUGCAUUUAUGUGCUAGCCAAAAAUAAUAAGCAUUUCAGCUCACUGCGACAUAAAUAUAUACUGAACUAUUUUUUUUGUCCAGGACACAGACAGUCGUAUUUCUUUAAUCCCUCCGUUGGAUCAUGUUAUAUUAUAGGUGUGCUGGUUCAGUAUUUUUUUUAGAAUUUUUGAGAACUUUUGCACCGUUGUAACCCUUAACUAGUUCUGUGGCAAGCACUUGUAGAAAAUCCUACUGAUAUAUAUACAUACAUAUAUAUAUAUAUAUAUAUAUAUAUACAUAUAUAUAUAUAUACGAGUAACGCUAUUCUAAGCGUGAGUGUAGAAUAGCUUAUUCUACACCCCCUAAUAACGCUAUGUACAAAAUCUAGUAAAAUGGUCUACAAAAUGUAGUAAUUCGGAAAAUUCUUUUUCAUCAUCUAUGUUUGUAAUUUACUACAUUUUUACAAAAAUUACUACAUUUUACAUAGUGUGUUACUAUAUUUUGUAUGUACCAUUACUGGGAUGUACAAUAAGCUAUUCUACACUCACGCUUAUAUAUAUAUAUAUAUAUAUAUAUAUAUAUAUAUAUAUAUAUAUAUAUAUAUAUAUAUAUAUAUAUAUAUAUAUAUAUAUUCGUCACUCUGGGUGAGGAAUAGUUAUUCUUCAACCCCUCUUUAUUUUGACGCCAACGCACCGUAUUUUUAGGUUUCGUAAAUUUUAUCUUACUUCAUACGUAAAAAUAAAACAUAAGAAAAUAUAUACGCACCGUAAAAAAUAUUUUAUGUUAUGUAAAAUUANNNNNNNNNNNNNNNNNNNNNNNNNNNNNNNNNNNNNNNNNNNNNNNNNNNNNNNNNNNNNNNNNNNNNNNNNNNNNNNNNNNNNNNNNNNNNNNNNNNNNNNNNNNNNNNNNNNNNNNNNNNNNNNNNNNNNNNNNNNNNNNNNNNNNNNNNNNNNNNNNNNNNNNNNNNNNNNNNNNNNNNNNNNNNNNNNNNNNNNNNNNNNNNNNNNNNNNNNNNNNNNNNNNNNNNNNNNNNNNNNNNNNNNNNNNNNNNNNNNNNNNNNNNNNNNNNNNNNNNNNNNNNNNNNNNNNNNNNNNNNNNNNNNNNNNNNNNNNNNNNNNNNNNNNNNNNNNNNNNNNNNNNNNNNNNNNNNNNNNNNNNNNNNNNNNNNNNNNNNNNNNNNNCUCGCACCACGAUUCACACAUACACAUGUAUAUAUAUACAAUUUGGUAUAUACAAUUUCUCCUACAUGGAGGCAUUACUGCGAUAGCGGCGGUACAUAGCGGGUAAUGGAAUUCUCCUGUGGGAUCUAUGACAUGGUCGAGCAAAAAUUCCGCUAUUUACUCUCCAAUUGCUUGUACGCGCUCCACUGGUAGGUGCUUCUCCCGCACCGCAGAGAACUUUUAAGAAGGAGAUCAAUAUGCAUGUAUUAGUUGUGUGAUUAGAUAUCGAUAAUGAUGUAAAAAUUGUGAAUAGUAUUCUGGCAAACGUACCCAUCACAGUCUAGCAUUUCUAGUCCUUUCGGACGCCAUCAUGUGAAUGGUCUCACAAACGUAGUAUGCACAUAAAUCAGUCCCCGAUUGCUUCAUGGCCUUUACGAGAAUAAAAUUCAAUCAGAUACUAAUUAAUCAAGCAUGAUAAUUAAUGGUAUUGAAACUAGAAUUAAAGAGAUGGUAGCUAGCUAGUAGUACUUAAAAUUACUUACCUUGGGUCGAAAUGAAUGCAGCUUUUCUUUGAACGGGCCUGGAACCGCUUUGAUGAACUUUCGCCAAGCCCUGUCCGCCGGCAAAGAAAAUGCAUAAAGGAGUUAUUAAUUAGUUGAUAUCAAGAAAUGAUGAACUAAAGAGGCGAACAUAUAGUUCAAUAAUGAUUGAAAUUACCUGUUGACUAUCCCCUUCACGAUUGAGUAGUCUUUAGGUUCUUUAAGCAGUGAGUCCAGUACUUUAACUGUUCCUUCAUCAAUUUUAAUGAUUAACAAGAUCCAGUGGUACCUGCAUGCACAUACGUUUGCAUGUAUAAAUUAAGCGGGCAUGUGCAUAACACUCAUCAACUAACCCUAAACCCUAUACACUUAUUAACAUCUAGCUAGUAAGCAAAAACAUAAUUUGUAGUACAAGACAGUGUGACUCACUUGAAGUUGUAAGGAAGUAGUAUAUCUUGAUUGGUAUUGAGGCGCUUCAAGAACUCUAGCAUUUUGUUCUCUACGUCAUCGGUAUACCAUGCAUGUGACCAUGUCUCUUCAUUAAUGGUAUUUGGGUCAAUGAACCCAAUGCCGGCCAUAGCGUCCACCUUUUCUCAUUUCGUACAUCUUCAUCCUGCAUAAUACCAUAGAAAAGAAUAUAUGGACGAUAAUUACAGGUAAUGAUCAACGAGAGAACUACAGCUAGCUUGAGACUUAAAUUACAUAAAGAAAUCACUUACAUGCAAUAGCAACUGAUGAUAGAUUUGUCGAGUGCGUCUUGAUUGAAUAACUGAAACAUUUCUAUAUACUCAAUAGACAGAGCUGUCCCAUGGAAGUAAUCCUCUUCCUUGACUUUCACCAUGAGGGACUCUCGAUUGUGGGUCUUGCGAAUAUCCAUGUACCAUUGAUGCAAUCCAUACAUUCUCGUUGAGAGCUUCUUGACCUCCUCAGGCUUGACCAUUUGUUCACAGCAGGCAUAUUUCUGUUUUACGUCCUCCUCUCUAAUCAUAUCCAUGGGCUCGAUCUCUAGGAGUUAUCCAACAGUGAUACCGAGCUCUUCAACCUGCCUUCUAUGCUCGUCGGUUAUUACCAGCUGACUGGUGCCGGUACUCUCAUGUGUUGGUACAACAAGCGGGGGGGUCGAUUGCGCCGCCUGUUCUCCCAGCUGGGGAACGGUUUUCCCACAUUUUUGCCAGGUGCUUGGCUCGAGCUCGAGCUCGAGCUCGACUCCUUCUUUUGUUGUGCUUGAUGUACCUUACUGAGUUGGCGCUCAUAGUCCGAGUCAACAGGCUCGGGAGCUGGGUUUUUUUCCAUACGAAUAAAGUGGUCAAUGAUUUCCUCAGGCACAUUCUCCUUUGGCGGUGGUGCCGGUUUCAGUCCAAAAUGGGCGUCCACUUGGGCCUUCACUAUGUCUGCGUUUUGCUCCUCGGUCAGGUUGUAAGGCCUCUAUGGAAUAGGCGCGAGGCUUGGACCAUAUUGAAAUCGCUUGCCUCCGCCGCCUGUACCUCUUGUACUACCUUGACUUGUACCGCUACACACCAUAGCUAUAGCGGCUCUCUUCCACUGUUGCUGAGUUAGCGAGGCUGACGUGGUUGACUUGGCUGACUUGGAGGAGGAGGAGUGGGCUGAUGCGGUGCCGGACUUGGAGCAGGAGGAGUGUCCUGACGCGGUUCCGGACUUGGAGGAGGAGUGGCCUGAUGCGUUGGCGGACUUGAAGGAGCAGGACUGUGCUGAGUCGGUGGCCGAUGAUCACUUGGAGGAGCGGGAGAUUGCUGACGUGGUGGUGGGCUUCGAGGAGGAGUUGGCUGAUGCGGUGUUAGUGGCCUUGGCCUUGGAAAGAUGAUGCAAUCCUUUCUCCAAGUGUGUGCUCCUCGUCACCUCUAGGAAUGUCAAGCUCUAGCCCCGAAUGUUGGUCCACCACCUCAUCAACCACGACAUGAGCAUAGCCGGGUGGAAUCGGGUUGCAAUGGAAGGUUGCUUCGGGGGUAUUUGUAUAAGCAACGAUGUCCGCCACCUUCAUGGAUAUGUUCUUCAUUUUGAAGUGUAGCUCACACUUAGUGUUCUCGAUGAUGUCGGCUAUCUAUCUAGCAGCUGUGCCUCGCCCGGGGCGGAACCCACACUACUUCUCGGCAUGGAUGGGAUGGUGCUAUCCAAUGCUGGAUCAUCCGCUAGCUGUUGCCGCUGCUGAGACCCCAUUUCUUGGCUAAGUGAGUCGAUUUGCUGCUGCUGCCACUUGAAUUGGAGUGCCAACUCCGCGUGCUUUGAUUCUAGGCCUUUAAGGCGUCAUGCUUCCUGCUUCCUUUGCUCCUCCUCCAGCUUCCUCUUCUUCUCCUCCUCCAUCUUCCUUCUUGCAUGACUUCUGUAGUCGGUGUUCCAGUCCACAAACCCCUUAUACCAUGGAACAACGCCUUUGCCUCGUGUUCUUCCCGGGUGUUCAGGAUUUCCCAGGGCGCGCGUAAGCUCGUCGUUCUCUCUAUUGGGCGUGAACACCCCUGUUCGAGCCUCUUCUAUUGCAACAAGUAUCUUAUCUUCGACUCCUUUAAGACUUGCCCUCUUCGAAACAUUUCCUGUCUUCGGGUCCAACGCCCCCCAUGCGCAUACCAAGUCCUGACCCUGGGGGCCAGCUCUUAGUAACUGGAGUGAUCUCUGCAUCCAGCAUCUCUUGCUCAGACUUAUCCCACUUUGGCACUGCCACCGCAUAGCCACCUGGCCCCAGCUUAUGGAACUGCUCCUUUUUUGCGGCAUUGGCCUUGUUUACUCUCGACCGUUCCUUAGAUAAUUCUGAUUCCUUGAAUUGCAUGAAAUCGGGCCAGUGCUCUCUUUACUUCUCCAGUGUUCCCUUGAAUUCUGGAGUCUUCUCUCCUCCUUCGACGUACUUGGCCCAUAUACUUUUCUUGUGGUUGUUGAAUGAAUCUGCCAUCUUCCUAAGAGCAGCGGCCUUCACUUUUUGCACAUCUGCAUCUGUGAAAUGAUCUGGUAGGGUGAAAUGUUCCAUGAGAGAUUCCCAAAGAAGAUAUUUUGCUCUGUCGUCGACCCAAGUAAGAUAUGUACGCUGCUUUGCUGGCUUUUUCCGUUCUUGCAUGAAGAUCGGGAGUUGGUCCUUCAUAAGAACUCUGCACUGACGAAUGAACUUGUUCGCAUUCUUCUUAGGCAAGAUUGGUUCGCCAUCAGUUAUGAUGGCAUCGAUGUUAUACUUUAUGCAUGGCUUCAACUUUUUGGUAGGGCCUCACACUAUCCUGCUGUCAGAUUUGCUUGAUCUCAAGGACAGAAAGAAGAAAGAUCGAUUGGUUAAUAUAUCUUCAAAUCAUUUAAAACAUGUGAUGAUCACCAGAUGCCUGCUUAUAUAAAUAUACCUCGCCGGUCUCUGUCCUUUCAGGAUCAACAUUUUCUUCGUCAUCAUAAUCAUAGUUCUGGACUUCAUCAAUUCGGUCGUCAUGUCGAAUAUCAUAUCACCCUCCCCGGUAUUGUUGAGAUAUUGGGAGCCGUCUUCUUCUUCAUUCUGAUCAUCUGGCCGGCCAGGGGAGCGUAUGAUUUGGAACAGGGCUUCUUCUCCUUCUCUGCCAGUAUUGUCCGCCAUAGCUUUUAUUUAAAUAGUCUAGAAGAAAUAUAAAACAAUUUAGUAUUCAAAUUACAAUGCAUGCAUGCAAUCAAUAAGGAAAAACUGAAUCAUAGUACAUAAUAUGCAUCAUCGAAUAAUCUCGAAUGCAUCAUCUCGAAUAAUAUAUAUAAUGUUGGAUACAUCGUCUCAAAUAUUAUAUAUCGAAUAUGUAGCUAGCUAAUAAAGAUCGGAUACUACAGAAUAAUCUAGUUCACUCGCGGUUCCUGAGGCGCGGGCGGUGGACACGUAAAGAGAAGGAACCAUCACAUGAUCAUAGCUCGGGUGAGAUCCCGGAAGAAGCUGCUAGGUAUUGGAACCUAACGUCCAUAGCAUCCAUGUAGCGAGAGAAGUGAUCGACCUCCUCCGUGACACGAUGAGGUAACACCUUCGGCGGGGUCGGCUCCCUCCGCACCGAAAGUGGCCCACGUGAACGCCAAGGAGCUCAGGGUUGACGAUGGGACCCGGGGCCGGGUUCCUCACCAAGCGGCGCGCCCCUGAAGGUAGCACCUCCCAGUGCCAGCCCGGCGGAGCCCAGUCCCGGACAUGGGUCCUCUGAAGCAGGACGUCUUCGUGAACGGGUCUACGGCGAGGAUGUGGGCUGGGCAUCGUCGAGAACAAAUACUAUAUGCAAACAUAACAUUUUUUAAAUAAUUGGAUUGUGAUUUCUUAUAUACAAAUUUAAAAAAUGAUAUCGUUGCAUCUGUCAAAAUUCUAUAUGCAUCUAUAACAUCGAUCAUCGUCUAACAAUUUGAUAUUAAUCUAAUUCAUCUAGCUAAAACUAACAUUUCUAAAAUUUCUAACAUUUCUACAUAACUAACAUUUCUAUAACUAAAAAACAGAAAAUUUCAAACAUUUCUAUAACUAAAAAACAUAAAAAUUACUAACAUUUCUAUAAGUAAAAAACAUAAAAAUUGCAUUGUGUGUGUGUGUGUGGCCAUGGCGGGGCAGGAGCUCACCGGCGAGGCAAGGCGACGGGGGCGGCGACGGGUGGCGACGACGGGGAUGGAGACGGGUGGCGACGGGCCGGGGCGGCGACAGGGACGGCGACGACGGGGACGGGGGCGGCGACAGGGGUAGUGACGGGGGCGGCGAUGGGGGUGGUGUCGGGGGGCAGCGGCGACGGGGCAGAGGAGAAGAAGUAGGGGAAGAGAUGAAAACUGACGAAAUUCGUAAGUGUUGUUUAUAUAGGAGGGGCCUUUAGUAUCAGUUGGAGCCAACAACUGGUACUAAAGGUCAAAUUUGGCCGGCCCAAGCGGCGGGAAGCGACCCCCUUUAGUACCGGGUCGUGGCUGCAACCGGUACUAAAAACACCCCUUUAGUACCAGUUGGAGCCAUGAACCGCUACUAAAGGUGGCGCGCUACCACCCCACGGUGCACAAAGUGUAGUCCCACCUCGCCGAGCGAAGGGCAGCCACACUGGUUUAUAAACAUAGCUGCGGCUGCUCCUUCGAGCUCCUCUCUAAAGCAGGCUUCUGGGCCUAAACUGCGUAUCUGCCUUGUGGGCCUACUAGGCCUUUCGGGCCUGCAUCCUGGCCCAACUACAAGUUGGGUUUCCAGUCGUAUGUAGAGCAUUGUUGCCCAGUAGGUGGGCUUUUUUCUCCCUUUUUUCCUUUAUUUAUUUUCUUUUAUUUAUUUGUGAAUUUUUUUGCUGUAUUUAGAGUUUCUUUGUGAAAUUUUUUGCUUUAGGCACAAAAAAUUAGUAGCGCCUUUUCAAUUUCAGGGUCAUUUAGCAAAAAAAAAUCAGUAGAUGCAUAAAAAAAGAAUGAAGUCAGAAAGGGUUGAAAAUUGAUGGCGUGGCUUUGAAUGGUGCAUAUUGAACACACACAAAGUCUGGAUUUGUAAUAAGUUAAAACAAUGAAAUGCCUUUGUAACAGAUGAGUUUUGCUCCGAAACCCUGAUACUUCGAAAGAGAUUGUCCAUUUUGUACAAGAAGUGCAUCCAGUUUUUGAUGUAACCCUUUCUACUUUUUUGCACAUGAUAUGUGGGUGAAAUGAUGAUACCAUGCCUAGUUUCAACAUUUUCAGAGUUCAUUUGUAGUGUUUUUCAAUUUCAGGCUCAUUUAGCUCAAAAAAAUCAGUUAAUGCAUGAAAAAUAACAAAUAAAGUCAGAAAGGGUUGAAAAUUGAUGACAUGGCUUUGAAUGGUGCAUAUUGAACGCACAUAAAGUCUGGAGUUGUAAUAGCUUAAAAAAUGAAAUGCCUUUCUAAUAGAUGAGUUUUCCUUCGAAACCCUGAUACUUCGAAAGAGAUUGUCCAUUUUGUACACGAAGUGCAUCCAGUUUUGCCAUAACCCUCUCUACUUUUUUACAGAUGAUAUGUGGGUGAAAUGAUGAUACCAUGCCAAGUUUCAACAUUUUCAGAGUUCAUUUGCAGUGCUUUUCAAUUUCAGGGUCAUUUAGCCAAAAAAUCAGUAAAUGCAUGAAAAAUAACAAAUGAAGUCAGAAAGGGUUGAAAAUUGAUGACAUGGCUUUGAAUGGUGCAUAUUGAACACACACAAAGUCUGGAGUUGUAGUAACUUAAAAAAUGAAAUGCCUUUGUAACAGAUGAGUUUUCCUCCGAAACCCUGAUACUUCGAAAGAGAUUGUCCAUUUUGUACACGAAGUGCAUUCAGUUUUGCCGUAACCCUCUCUACUUUUUUGCACAUGAUAUGUGGGUGAAAUGAUGAUAGCAUGCCAAGUUUCAACCUUUUCAGGGUUCAUUUGUAGUGCUUUUCAAUUUCAGGGUCAUUUAGCUCAAAAAAAUCAGUAAAUGCAUAAAAAAUAACAAAUGAAGUCAGAAAGGGUUGAAAAUUGAUGAUGUGACUUUGAAUGGUGCAUAUUGAACGCACAUAAGGUCUGGAGUUGUAAUAAGUUAAACAAAUGAAAUGCCUUUAUAACAGAUGAGUUUUCCUUCGAAACCCUGAUACUUCGAAAGAGAUUGUCCAUUUUGUACACAAAGUGCAUCCAGUUUUUGCUGUAACCCUCUCUACUUUUUUUGGACAUGAUAUGUCGGUGAAAUGAUGAUACCAUGCCAACUUUCAACCUUUUCAGAGUUCAUUUCUAGUGCUUUUAAAUUUCAGGGUCAUUUAGCUAAAAAAUCAGUAAUUGCAUGAAAAGUAGCAAAUGAUGUCAGAAAGGGUUGAAAGUUGAUGAUGUGACUUUGAAUCGUGCAUACUGAACGCACAAAAUGUACACAUUUCAAAUGCCAAAACACAUAAGUACCCCAACUAUUACAAAGAUUCCCUACGGUUUGUCCAAAGUGGGACUUUCCAGAUAUAUAAGUCCAGAAACUCACUAGAGAAGAAAGUGAUGACAGUGAAGCCGAUCACAUCCCAGAGUGGGAUCUUUGGGCCGUGUGAAACUUUUCCUUCGCGUGUGUCCCUUUGCGCCAUAAGCAUGGACAAUCUUAAUCAUUUAACUGGAUGCUCGGGUCAAUAUUCACUGUGAAUGGAGCAAUUUCAUCAAACUUUUCAUAAUCUUCUGACAUGUCUAUCUUGUCAUCCACUCCCACGAUGUUUCUUUUCCCUGAAAGAACUAUGUGGAGCUUUGGCUCAUCGUAUGAUGUAUUCGCUUCCUUAUCUUUUCUUUUUCUCAGCUUGGUAGACAUGUCCUUCACAUAGAAAACCUGCGCCACAUCAUUGGCUAGGACGAAUGGUUCGUUGCGUACGCAAGAUUGUUGAGAUCCACUGUUGUCAUUCCGUACUGCGGGUCUUCCGUUACCCUGCCUCGUGUCAUAUUGACCCAUUUGCACCGAAACAAAGGGACAUUCAAACCACUGAUACGUCUCCAACGUAUCUAUAAUUUUUGAUUGUUCCAUGCUAUUAUAUUACCCGUUUUGGAUGUUUAUGGGAAUUAUUAUACACUUUUAUAUUAUUUUUGGCACUAACCCCCAAGCUGAGGCCCAACCCAAAAUGUUGUUUUACUGCCUAUUUCAGUGUUUCGAAGAAAAAAUAUCAAAUGGAGUCCAAACGGAAUGAAACCUUUGGGAGAGUUAUUUUUGGAACGGAAGCAACCUAGGAGACUUGGAGUAGACUUCAGGGAAGCUUCGAGGAAGCCACGAGGCAAGGAGGCGUGCCCCCACCCUCGUGGGUCCCUCGUGGCUCCCCUAACCCACUUCUUUCACCUAUAUAUGUCCAUAUACCCUAAAAACAUCAGAGGGCACAAUAGAUCGGGAGUUCCGCCGCCAAAAGCCUCCGUAGCCACCCAAAACCAAUCUAGACCCGUUCCGGCACCCUGCCGGAGGGGGGAAUCCCUCUCCGGUGGCCAACUUCAUCAUCCCAGCGCUCUCCAUGAUGAGGAGGGAGUAGUUCACCCUCGGGGCUGAGGGUAUGUACCAGUAGCUAUGUGUUUGAUCACUCUCUCUCUCUCGUGUUCUUGAGGUGAUACGAUCUUGAUAUAUCGCGAGCUUUGCUAUUAUAGUUGGAUCUAUGAUGUUUCUCCCCCUCUACUCUCUUGUAAUGAAUUGUGUUUUCCCUUUGAAGUUAUCUUAUCGUAUCGAGUCUUUAAGGAUUUGAGAACACUUGAUGUAUGUCUUGCAUGUGCUUAUCUGUGGUGACAAUGGGAUAUCACGUGAUCCACUUGAUGUAUGUUUUGGUGAUCAACUUGCGAGUUCCGUGACCUCGUGAACUUAUGCAUAGGGGUUGGCACACGUUUUCAUCUUGACUCUCCGGUAGAAACUUUGGGGCACUCUUUGAAGUACUUUGUGUUGGUUGAAUAGAUGAAUCUGAGAUUGUUUGAUGCAUAUCGUAUAAUCAUACCCAUGGAUACAAGAGGUGACAUUGGAGUAUCUAGGUGACAUUAGGUUUUUGGUUGAUAUGUGUCUUAAGGUGUUAUUCUAGUACGAAAUCUUGAAUAGAUCGAUCCGAAAGAAUAACUUUGAGGUGGUUUCGUACCCUACAAUAAUCUCUUCGUUUGUUCUCCGCUAUUAGUGACUUUGGAGUGACUCUUUGUCUCAUGUUGAGGGAUAGUUAUAUGAUCCAAUUAUGUUAUUAUUGUUGAGAGAACUUGCACUAGUGAAAGAAUGAACCCUAGGCCUUGUUUCCUAGCAUUGCAAUACCGUUUACGCUCACUUUUAUUACUUGGUACCUUGUUGUUUUUAUAAUUUCAUAUUACAAAAACCUAUAUCUACAAUCCAUAUUGCACUUGUAUCACCAUCUGUUCGCCGAACUACUGCACCUAUACAAUUUACCAUUGUAUUGGGUUUGUUGGGGACACAAGAGACUCUUUGUUAUUUGGUUGCAGGGUUGCUUGAGAGAGACCAUCUUUAACCUACGCCUCUUACGGAUUGAUAAAUCUUAGGUCAUCCACUUGAGGGAAAAUUUCUACUGUCCUACAAACCUCUGCACUUGGAGGCCCAACAAUGUCUACAAGAAGAAGGUUGCGUAGUAGAAAUCAACCACAUCCAUAGUCAAGUUCCCAUAUCUUCAAUAGCGGCGUCAUGCAUGGCAAGUGUCUGCAACCAACCGGUGAAAGUCCCCGUUUGUUCACGUGUAUUCCAGUCGUCAGUCUGCUCCAGGUGUUUGGAGCGUAGAAAAUUCUUGUGUUCCUCCAUAUACGGAGCCACCAAGGCGGAAUUCUGUAGAACUGUGUAGUGUGCUUGAGUGAGAGUAUGUCCAUCCAUACAUAUUAUUUGAUUCCCUCCUAGCAUGCCUUUUCCACCCAGCCUGCCCUUAUGCCGCAAUUCGGGAACACCAAUCGAAUUAAGGUCAGGAAUAAAGUCAAUAAAGAACUCAAUGACCUGCCCAUUUUCAUGGCCCUUGGAGAUGCUUCCUCACUACUUGGGAAAAGCCUAGCAGUAGCGCGGGUUUUGGGUGUAUCAGUAGCGCGGGCGCCCACACUACUGAUACGGUGCCACAGCUAACUUGUAGAAGUAGCGCGUGUUGACACGUGCUAUUGCUAUACAUGGUUAGCUGUAGCAUGCGUUGCAGUACAACGCUACUGCUAAUUAUCUGUAGCGGGUCUUAUACCCCGCGCUACUACUAUUACUUUCAAAAGCAAAAAAAUAUCUCGAUCCCGUGCAUGUUGUCAAUGGCAGCAUUUGUUUGAUCCAGCGAUGGUUGGGGUCGCCGGAGGCAUGAACGAGUAGCGGCAGACCAGAUCCGGCGGUGGCUGUUGGAGGAGGGCCUGCUUCCAUGGAAGAGCAAGGCAGCGGCGUGGGGCUCCUCUUCCCGACCAUGCCAGAUAUGGUCGUCCAUGGCAACUACCUGCACGGACAUGGACAUGGGAUUGUGAGUCAAACCAGAGGGAGAGAGAGAGAGAGAAAGAAAACCAAGGGAGAGAGGAAGGAGAUGGAGGGAGUAGCGGGGCUGGUCACCGGUGGUUAGGUCUCCGGCGUGGUGGCGCGAGGCGGCGGCCUCCUAGAUGCCAGUGGAAGACCGGCGAGCUCCUAGACGCCGGUGGCGUGAGGCGGCACCCACUUUCGGUGCCAUGGAGGAGGAGGGGCGCAUGGGCAAGAGGUCAAUGUGAGAACGUAUGGAGAGAGAGAGGAGGGAGUGGCGGAAGAGAGGAGGGAUUUGGGGGAGGGGGAGGAUGGGUGGGGAAAGGUGGUGGGUGCAGAUUAGCAGUAGCGCGGUACGUAAAACGCACUGCUGCUAAGAAAGUAGUAGUAGCGCACUUUCGGUACAAGCGCUACUGCUAUCCGGGACCAAAAGUGUGCCCGAUUUGAAAAUUAUCAGCAGCGACCUCAGAAAAACCGCGCUACUGCUACAUCUAUAGCAGUAGCGCGGCUCGCGGCACUGCGCUGCUGCUAAAUGGUGUUGGGUGGGCACUGUCGGUCGAUAUUUGUAGCAGCGCGGGUUAUGCCGAGCGCGCUACUGCUAAGCACUUGUUAGUAGCGGGUUUUCCACACCCGCGCUACUGCUAAUUAGUAGCAACCCUCUUUUUUGAGCCGCGCUGCUGCUAAGAUUUUGUGUAUAGGGUUUUCCCUAGUAGUGCCUUCUGGCCUAGCACGGUUAUGAGCAUAUUGUUUGCACACGAACACGUCACCGCAGCUCACGUUGAAGGAGACACGCCGGAAGAGCGGUACGCAAGACAAUUCGGCGGGUGCUUUUGAGGACCCAAAACCCCACACGCCCAGGAGGGACCCCGUCAGGGCGUGCGGCGGCUAUGGGCUGCCCUAGGUCGACCUGAUCGCCCCUAGGGCCUCGAGGUUCGCCGCCCUGCAAUGAAGAAGAACGAACGAAGAACGAGGAAGAAGAAGAACAAGGGAGAGGGAUAAAGGUAAAGGUAAAAGAUGAUAGAUUAAUAUGUCCUUUGUUUAUUGUUCAAUCGGCCGUCACCCCUUACAUAUAUAUGAGGCGGCUGGACUUCCCGUACAAGAAAAGGACUCAAAUCACAUCCAAAUCAUCAAAAGUUACCUUAACUCGGACAACGAGGGCCGGAACUUCCGGGCUGAAAUUAUAUCAAGUAGCCCUAUUGCACUGAAUCUACGGGUCGCAUACUACUUCGGUUGACGAUGGUCCCAAAAGCAAAGUUAUAGAUCUUGCACUGGUGAAAAACUAUUCAGUUGAUCACUUUUUCAUCUGAGGUCAUCUUGAUGUCGAAAUUGACCCCACAAAUCUGCAAACAAUAUUAAAAUUCCAAUUUUCGGGACGCACCGCGUGCAAACUUUCCGUUUAGCCCGGAACCUCCCCGGAAGUUUUGACCAGAACUUCCGGGGCAAACUUAUGCAGCACACUGUUUUCGCUCUAACUUUUGCAUACGAACUCCGAUUUAGACAGUUUUUUAUAUCUAAAUUGAUCGUCUAGACCAGACGAAGACAAUCCGUGUAGAAACAUUUCUCAUACGAGCCCAUCUUGGGGGUGUAAUAAGCCGAAUAGUGUUAUGAAUACAAAAUCUGAGUAUUUCAAACACAACUUCGGCCUUAGAGAUGAGACCGGAUGGCUAAGGCCCAAAUAUGAAAGUUUCUCCUUUUGACGUUACGGAACUUUCUCACUUUGAGCACUUCUCCAUUUGAGGUCAUCUUAAUUAAGUUCUUGGCCGUGUCAAAAUCUAGUGUCAAGACAUGCCCCCCUAUUUUUCGGCAAACUUGUGUGCCGAAAAAUAACUUGCACGAUGCUUUUUGUAAGGACUAUGUCAACACUCCAUCGGCCAUUUUGCGUGUUCUUAGGACAAUAAGUAUAUAUAGGCCAUUGCUUGUUUGAACCUCUUGAUACAAACUUGGUGAAAACUUCUCAGCUUCUACAACAAUCCGGUGAUAAGGUUCCAUAGACCAAAACCAUCCUUCGAACCAUAUUGUUCCCUUUCGCUAGGAUUUUGAAGAUAAUCAAGAAUGAACUUCCUUCAAUCCUUACUUCAUCUGCAUAAAAUUUUCAUUAGUGGCCGAGAUGGUGAGCUCCAAUUCGGCCUUACCUAUGUUGGCAAGAAUAAGCAUCGGCUAUUGAUAGAUGUGCAAUACACCAUGACCAACAUGGUAGCUGAAUUCUUGCUAUGCCAACUAUCUCCAAUUGUCAUGUCUAGAUAUAUUAAGAAUAUCAAAACAACCCAAGGUAAAUUUUAUGUCUAGACAUACCUCAAGAUAAACUAAAAGUGAUUCGUCAAAACAUUGAUAACCAUUGGAUAUUUGUUGCACUACCAAUAACGAAUCACCAAAAGUCUCAAUAUGUAUAGCACCUAUAUCAAGGAAAAUCUGUAAUCCGAAUAACAAUGCAUAUUCGGCUUUGAUCAUUUGUGCAUAAAUAUUUCAAGCGGCAUGACGCUUCACAAAAUAGCACCAUAAGGAGAUAUAUAAACAACACCAACACCUUGGCCAUUGCUACAAAUUUAACCAUCAAUAUAUAAUCUCCAUGGUACUAGAAAGAUCAAGCUAAAAUCAAUAUUAUGCAUGAUGUCAAUAUGAUGCUCAAUAAUAAAAUCAACCAUGAUUUGGACUUACGUAAAUUCUGAAAACUAAUAAGCCAAAGCACACCCAAUCAAAAUAUAAGUUCACUUUGAAGUUUUGGUGAAUUGGUCUAUGCAUAAUAUCUUCAAUGGCAUCAAUUUGACAAAUUUCUCCGCAAGCACAUAUCUCAAUCUCUACUCAAAUUAAGCACGAUGUUAGAAUACCACACCGGCCAUUCCUAGAUAUAUUCUUAGGGCGAUAGAUAAGUAUCGACCAUUACCAUGAGGUCCAUGUAAAAUUCACCGACCAAAGUAUGUAUAUCCGAAAUAAACAAAUUAAAUAGUAAUAAAAUAUUUCGGCCCCUUUAUAUUAGCAACAAAAAUGAAACUAACAAAAUGUAUAGUGAUUUGGUAAUACCAUCUCAUGAUAUAUAAAAUUAUGUUGCAUCCAUGGAUCAAAAUGAAUCCAUGGAGGGUAAUUGAUCAUACCUAGGGAUGAAUUCCAUGACAAAGGCAUCAAUGGCAUAGUUGAAGAAAAUGGAUGAUGUGCUAACCGAAGAUUUUGAUGUUGUGAUGCACACCUUCAGCUUAAUUGUUUGUUGCUUCCAUCCUUCUCUUUCUUCAUUUUUAUUGUACUUGUUGCAAUAGAAGCAUGCAAAUCAUUUUUGUUAUGAUUGGUCUUCUUGGGAACCCAUGCCAUGUUCUUCUUUCUCAGCUCUUGUGCACUAAGAUUUUGUAAUUCCUUCUUUUGCCAAUACGACAAGUCGAGUGGGCAUGUCGGCUGUGAUUUUGUUUCAACCAAUAGCAACUCGUUUUGGACCUUGUGCACCCUCAACCUCUUUUCUUCAGAUUUGGCUCUCUAAUUUUUAUCAAUUGAUUGCUUCACUUCUUUGCCUUUUGUAGCCAAUGUGAACACUUUAAUUGGCUCUUUAUCCUUCAAUAUCAAAUCUGAAUUGGCACUCUUGCGACCAUCUUUUUUAACUCGAUAUACUUGUUUGAUCACCUCAUUCUUCUUUCUUGAGCUCUGGACCGAUUCCUUAUGAUUGAAACGGUCUUUAACAUGUGAUUGUUCAAAUGUUGAUCUUCUCGGAACUACAUAAUAUUGGUGAGAUGGUUUAAAUUAAGAUGGAGAAUGUGCCCUUGUAUCAUACCUGUCCCAUGAUGGAUAUGAAUCUACAUGAGCAUAGGGAGGCAUCCAUGACAUUGGCAUUAGCGGCCCAAAAUAAGGAUAUGAAUAUGUUGCAUGAAAAUUUUCACUUUUCCAAUACCGAUCCUCAUAUUUGCGCCUUGGGGGUGAUCUUGAUGCUUUUGCAUUAGUUGGCCGAUAAGAACUUUUCUCUUCACUCUUCUUUUGAUAUUUAUCUAAUAAUUGUGCAAAAGUGACCUUGGAUUUCUUGCACUUGUGCUUAUUGCGGCCUUUGUUUCCUUUGGUUGUGCUUGCACCGAUCUUUGAAAUUGCUUGCUGCCCCCCAGUCCUUGGCGUCUCCAUUGUAGCUUCAAUGGAAUUUUCGCCCUAAAGAUUAUGUUCAUUAUGCUCUUCAACAACUUCUUUACUUGAAAGCUUGAUCCCAUCACCUAAAGUUUUUACCUUCUCAUUAAAUGGAUCGGCUUGAAGUAGCCGAUGCAAAAACUUUCUGCCAUCGGGACCAAUCGGAGUAGACUGGUCAUCUCUUGGUGUCUCAACAAAUUUCAAUCGUCCUUUAUCAAUGGCCGAUUUAACUAUUUGACGAAACAUGUUGCAAUCCUCAAAAUUAUGCUUGGACAAAUCAUGCAACUUACAAUACAUUUGUCGCUAGACAGAUGGCUCAACAUGGUGAUCAAGAAUUCUAAUAUAAUUAUUUCUGAACAACAAAUUAAAUAUUUGAUCACACAUGCUUGAAUUGAAGGUAAACUUUUUAUUUUCUAGCUGAUCUUGUUGUGAGAACGGCUUUGGAGUUAAGCAAACGAAUGGUUCAGAUUUUGCAUCACCCCAUUCGGCUAUGCAUUGUGUUUUGCACUCUAUCUCCGAUAUCUUUGGAUAAGAAACUAUACUGGCAUCGGUUUGCUUAGAGGAUUUUAACCUUGGCUUUAAAUUUCUGAAACGAAAAUAGUUAGAAUGUACAUGUCUCAAUUGAGACCAAGUGUAUUCCAAGUAAGAAAUAAGCAAAGCUACCCAGUUAGAUAUGAAUUUUAGAUAAAGCAAUGGGGAAGGCCUUGGCUGCAAUAAUUUUUCGCUAUCGGUCUUUCUGAAUGGUGCAAUGUGUUGACCGAUAUGCUUUAUGACAAUCUGAUUGCUAACAAAUAAAUUACCCUUCUUCAUUGGUCUCUCAAUAUUUCUUAUGAAGAUUUUUCUAAUACAUCCAUGAACAACUAAGUCAUGACCAAAAUCUGAAAACAGGUAUAUUAAUUGCUAGACAUACCUCUUCAAUUAUGUUGGGAGAGCAUGGUGGUGGUGUGACUUGAAGAAUGUCUUGCUCCGCCUUCGGAUAGCUCCCCAAUGCCUUGUCAUCAUCUUUUUCUUGAUUUCGUGCAUCAUUAGUUUGAAGAUCCUUGUCCACCAAACUUUCUUCGGCUACUUGUUCUUGUUCUUGAAGCUUGUCAAUUUCUAUGGCACGAAACUCAUAGGGAAGGAAGUAUGUUCCAUUAACUUAAGAAAAAUCAAGUAUGGUUGUCAUGCUAUAGUUUCCAUGCCCUUUCUCAACAAUGUUUGCCUCUUUGGAUUUGAUGGAUUCGGAAGAUAUACUACUUAUUCGGUUUUUUCAACCGAAGAACUUUUAGUUUCUGAAUCAUCUUUCUUUGCACUGGUUAUAUCAAUUGGCAAGGCUUCUUUUCUUUGAGCCAAUUCCCUAUCAAUUCUCUCUUGACGAAGUACUUGCACCCUAUCGCGCAAAGCUUUAACUCCCCUCUCAAUCUCAGCCCGCUCUAGAUUAGUUUGCACCCCAAUGCUUUUAGAAUCUUUUGGCAAUGAAGUGUUAGUGUUGCCGAAAUUUUGCAAUUGUGUAGGGGGUGUAUAAUAUGCUGCGGUACUAGGUGGAGGUGUAUACACUGCUGUAUAACCAUAUGAUAUUUCGCCAAUUCUAUCAAUGCAUGUAGUUUCCUCUUCUUGCAAAACUCUAGCCUUUAUUGCAGCAUAAUCAGGAAACAACCCAUUUUCAUAUUGUUCAAGGCAAAGAGCUCUAUUUCUCUUGUUUUGUGCCAAGCUCUUUUUAACGCAGCCACAACCGCUUUUGGAAGGGAUUGCUCUGCAAUACUUUCAGAUUCUUUCGACAAUGAUUCGUGAGUGUUGCCAAAAUUCUCGAAUUGCGUAGAGUAUGCAUUAUAUGCUACAGUAUUUGAUGACAGCACAUGUGUUCCAUAAAAUUUUCACUUAUUCGGCUAUGACCAUGAAGAUGCAGGGCCGAAUUAUGAACAUCUACAGUUUCAUGCGGUGCUGAAAAAUUACUAACAUGAGGUGUAGCAUAUGAUGGUUGAGAGUAAUCGGCCGAAUAGCUAGUAGUAGCAUGGCCAAUUCUCCCAUCCAUCAGCAAGGUUGGAUUCACAUACUACAAAUUAGUUGCCGAUGAAUAAAAAGGUGAAACACUUUCUUCUAUGCUAUUGGAAAUUUUAACAUGAGGUGUUUCAAAUUGAUUAACCGAACCCAUCAUGUUUUUCAUCGGCAUAUGGAUUUGUGGGGUUGCCGAUGCAUGAGAGUUAGGAUACAUAUCUUGUAUGUUACUAGUAUCAUAAGAAGUUGAAACAUGUAAAUUACUUUGAAUCGGCCUAUGCAUGUAAUUAGACGCAUUAUUGAAAAAACUAGGGACGGCCGAUAGAGUAUAAUCAUUGAACAAUCUAGUAACAUCAUAUGAAUUAUUUGCAUCUACAGUAGGGAAUUGGGUAUUCAUAUUACCUUUGUAGAUUGCAAACCCUAGAUGACAAUCUCUUCAUAGCAAGAAUAGGCCGGAGACCGUUCAAAGCUUCGUCCCCAGCGGAGUCGCCAAAAAGUGUGUUCGCAAACGAACACGUCACCGUGUACCUUUGACGCCGGGGGUGAUGCACCGCAGCUCACGUCGAAGGAGACACGCCGGAAGCGCGGUACAUAAGACAAUUCGGUGGGUGCUUUUGAGGACCCGAAACCACACACGCCCAGGAGGGACCUCGUCAGGGCGUGUGGUGGCUAUGGGCUGCCCUAGGUCGACCUGAUCGCCCUUAGGGCCUCGAGGUUCUCCGCCCUGCAAUGAAGAAGAACGAACGAAGAACGAGGAAGAAGAAGAACAAGGGAGAGGGAUAAAGGUAAAGGUAAAAGAUGAUAGAUUGAUAUGUCGAUUGUGUGUUAUUCAAUCGGCCGUCACCCCUUACAUAUAUAUGAGGCGGCUGGACUUCCCGUACAAGAAAAGGACUCAAAACACGUCCAAAUCAUCAAAAAUUACCCUAACUCGGACUACAAUGGCCGGAACUUCCGGUCUGGCCCAGAACUUCCGGGCUGAAUUUAUAUCAAGUAGCCCUCUUGCACUGAAUCUACAGGUCGCAUACUACUUCGGAUGAUGAUGGUCCCAAAAGCUAAGUUGUAGAUCUUGCAAAGGUGAAAAACUGUUCAGUUGAUCACUUCUUCAUCCGAGGGCUUCUUGAUGUCGAAAUUGGCCCCGCAAAUCUGCAAACAAUGUUAAAAUUCCAGUUUUCGGGACCCACCGCGUGCAAAUUUCGGUUUAGCCCGGAACCUCCCCGAAAGUUUUGCCUGGAACUUCCGGGGCAAACUUAUGCAGCACACUGUUUUGGCUCUAACUUUUGCAUACGAACUCUGAUUUAGACGGUUUCUAUAUCUAAAUCGAUUGUCUCGACGAGACGAAGACAAUCCAUGUAGAAACAUUUCUCAUAUGAGCCCAUCUUGAGGGUGUAAUAAGCCUAAUAGUGUUCUGAAUACAAAAUCUGAGUACUUCAAACACAACUUCGGCCUUAGAGAUGAGACCGGAUGGCUAUGGCCCAAAUAUGAAAGUUUCUCCUUUUGACGAUACGGAACUUUCUCACUUUGAGCACUUCUCUAUUUGAGGUCAUCUUAAUUAAGUUCUUGGGCGUGUCAAAAUCUGGUGUCAACACAUAUUUAUUUAAGACUCCCAUGAACCUCUCAAAGGGAACAUAUUCUGUAGAAAUACAGGACCAAGAAUGUUAAUCUCUUCGCAUAGGUGAACUAGGACGUGUGUCAUGAUGUUGAAGAAGGAUGGUGGGAACACCAACUCGAAACUGACAAGACAUUGCACCAAAACAUUCUCUAACCUUGGUAUGAUUUCUGGAUCGAUUACCUUCUAAGAGAUUGCAUUGAGAAAUGCACAUAGCUUCACAAUGGCUAAUCGAACGUUUUCCGGUAGAAGCCCCCUCAAUGCAACCGGAAGCAGUUGCAUCAUAAUCACGUGGCAGUCAUGAGACUUUAGGUUCUGGAACUUUUUCUCUGCCAUAUUUAUUAUUCCCUUUAUAUUCGACGAGAAGCCAGACGGUACCUUCAUACUGAGCAGGCAUUCAAAGAAGAUUUCCUUCUCUUCUUUGGUAAGAGCAUAGCUGGCAUGAACCUGAUGUAUGCCGUAUUUUCCAUGUAUACCUUUCUAGUCCUCCCGUGCUUCCGGUAUAUAUUUGGUCUUCCCAUACACAACCAAGAAACCAAGCAGGGCCACACAAAGUUUCUUCAUCACGUACAUCACGUCGAUUGCAGAGCGAACCUCUAGGUCUUUCCAAUAGGGCAGGUUCCAAAAUAUAGAUUUCUUCUUCCACAUGGGUGCGCGUCCGUCAGCAUCAUUCAGAAGAGGUUGUCCGCCAGGACCCUUUCCAAAGAUCACCUUCAAGUCCUUGACCAUAUCAUGUACAUCAGCACUAGUACGGUGGCGAGGCUUUGUCCGGUGAUCCGCCUCACCUUUGAAAUGCUUUCCUUUCUUUCUUACGGGAUGCCUACUCAGAAGAAAUUGACGAUGUCCCAGGUACAUAUUCUUCUUAAAUUAUUAAAAUGUAUAUUGUCGGUUGAUGAAGUCAUGUACCUAGGGUAGGGUCAUGGAUCUGAACAAGAUACCCUCCCCAAGGACAUCCCUUAAAGAACCAAAAGUAGUCGAAGAAAAAUCAUCAUUCACUCGACCAUAAAGCCAUGUUCCACUCGAUAGUCUUGAAGACACUCGACCAUAUAAACAACCACUCUACUACCAGAAGACUAAGAGCCACUCACUCUGCAACGGUCGGGAUUUAAGUCAUAGCUUUAAUGGUCAUUUAUGUACUUUUAUUAUAGGCAUUACCAGUAAUGUCUCCACCUUUAUGUACCUUAAACUCUUCGUAACUGAGGGCGGGAGGGGUCUGGCGAACUCUAUAUAAGCCACCCCCCUCCUCAGGAACAAGGGUUCGCACCCCCUGUAACUCACACGCGCAUAAUCCAGUUGACCGCCUCCGGGCUCCGAGACGUAGGGCUGUUACUUCCUCCGAGAAGGGCCUGAACUCGUAAAACUCACGUGUACAACUCCUCCAUAGCUAGGAUCUUGCCUCUACAUUCCUAGCCCCCAUUCCAAUGUCAUACUUAGAAUCACGACAGUUGGUGCCCACCUUGGGGCAGGUGUCUUAGCGACUUGUUGGAGAGGUUGCAAUUUUUCCGAUCCCCUUCAUCAUGGUUUCAGGCGGUGGUUUGGCUGAGGGCCGCGAGAUCCGUCUCGGCGCGGUCGUGUUUGUCGCCGACGACUCCACUUGGCUUCAGGAGGCUCCACUCAACAUCGGCGCGCUCCCCAUCCGCGGGGCAACACACUUUCACGCGUGCGUCCGUGGUGUCCUCCUGCGGCAGCCAUCGACCCAGUAUCAGUAGACUCCUAUAGCUUUUCCCCUCCCUGCGGCCCGCCGGAGCAAACGUUCCGGUCGAUCGAGGCUUCAGCGGUGGGUGAAGCAUUCAGUGGCUCGCCAGUCGGCCACCCCUCAAGUCGCGGCAAUCGAGCCCGACGAAACCCUCUAUGGCCUGUUCGAUCUGUCGACUGGCUCCGUAGAGACUGCAUCCGAGUGCGAUAGCUGCGACCCCGCGGCAGAAGUUUUGAUGGUCAAUGGACCGCGCAGUCCUCCUGGCUUCAACUGUGAAGACGGAGGUGACGGGGGCGGCGAUCUGUCGCGUAUUCAUGAAGAGUACCGCCCCGAACCCCUCUCCUCGCAGCAGAGAGAAGAACUUCGCCGCCGGAACAUGGAUGCACUUCACACUCCUAUCGUUGGAGAAACCCCUGAGGCCCAGGCCUUGGAGGAGGCGCGCCUGGCCAACUUGGCUGAGCGCACACGACUGGAGAAUCUCCAGCACGCACUCGACGAGCGUGCUCGACAGCGUGCUCCUGAAUCCAGUCGAUGUCAACUUUUUCCGCCUCAGACUCAGGUAUAUCAAACUCCGAUCUAGAAUCUCACAGCUGUAGCCCGGAUAGCGGAGUCGAUCCAACCCUCCCAGUCAGAGGCUGGUCGGGGUCUGGUGUAGAUCUGAGCCUUUCUCCGUGCGGCCGAAGAGCAGAAUACCGCAGUAUCUCAGUCGUGGAAUAAGAUCCAUAGCAGGUCCGUGGUUGCAGACAUAGUCCAGUCGGCUUAAACAGCCCAAGAUCGCCCCCGAGGCAUGAGGGACGUGGAGAUCGACGAGAUCAGUAUAGAAACCGUGAGCAGUAUGAUCACUGAGUUGAUCAUGAUGAUCGUCGUCGAGUGCCUACGCCUCCACCAAGGAGUGGGUCGUACGUGCCUCGGCAACGUUAUGAUAGACGCCCUCAUAGUAUGGGGCGAGGGAUUCCAGUCGACCCCAGAGAACCAGGCUUUGAUGCGAGAUCUAUUCUCGUUCAGGGCUUGGUCAACAGAAACAGGGAUCACGGGGAAGGUCGUGACAUAGAUCCACCAACCAGCGGCAUUGUGCAUGUCUCAGGUCUGGAGUGCUUCAGCAGAGCCAUCAGGGCUGCAGUGAUUCCCCCCAACUUCAGGUUGGCGACUGAAGUCAGUAAGUUCACUGGAGAGUCCAAGCCAGACACUUGGCUCGAAGACUACCGAGUGGCUGUCCAGAUUGGUGGCGGCAAUGGUGAAGUGCCCAUGAAACACCUUCCUCUGAUGUUGGAGGGCUCGGCUAGAGCAUGGCUGAAUCAGUUAGCACCUAACAGUAUUUAUACUUGGGAAGAUCUUGCCCGAGUAUUUGUCAGAACAUUCGAAGGUACUUGCAAACGGCCGGCAGGGUUGACCGAAUUACAGUGUUGCGUUCAUUAACCGAAUGAGUCUUUGAGGGAUUAUAUCCAGAGAUGGAUCACAUUGCAUCACACGGUGGAGAAUGUGACUGAUCAUUAGGCAAUUUGUGCCUUUAAAGAAGGUGUCAAAUAUUGGGAGUUGAAUAUGAAAUUCGGUCGGACAGGAGAUAUGACUCUGACUCGGAUGAUGGAAAUUGCCACCUAGUAUGCCAACGGUGAAGAAGAAGACCGACUCCGGAGUGGCAAGCACAGAACAGUCGCCCAUGAAACCGGGGGAGGAAACUCCAGUUGGAAGCAGAAGUGCAAAGCCGAGCCAGCCGCUCCUGGUGAAGCCUUAGCCAUGACUCAAGGAAAGUUCAAGGGGAAGCCCAUAGGGCCGUGGAACCCCAAGAAAGUAAAAGAUCAAGAUGGAAAUGAUGUGUUGGAUUGGCCAUGCCACAUCCACACCAAAAAAGAUGAAGAGGGUAACUUCAUUUACCCGAAGUAUACCACUCGGCAGUGUCGACUCCUAAUCCAACAGUUCCGAGAGAAACAUCCCAAGGAAAAGGAGAAAGAAGCAGACAAGGUUGAGGACGAGGAAGAAGAUGAUGAUGGUUAUCCCCACGUGAAUUCCACUCUGAUGAUUUUCGCUGACAUUGAGAGUAAAAGUCGAUUGAAAGUCAUCAACAGAGAAGUGAACAUGGUCGCUCCAGUGACACCCAGUUAUUUGAAGUGGUCCCGGACUGCCAUUACAUUCGACCAGUCCGAUCACCCAGCACACAUAGCCACCCCUGGGAGACAAGCAUUGGUGGUCGACCUAGUAGUCGAAGGCACCCGACUGACUAUGGUUCUGAUGGAUGGUGGCAGUGGCCUGAAUAUACUAUAUCCAGAGAUGUUGAAAGGAAUGAGCAUUCCGAUGUCCAGACUCACUGAAGGUAAUAUGAGUUUCCAUGGGGUCAUUCCUGGCAAGAAGGCUGCAUCACUCGGCCAGAUUGCUCUCGACGUGGUUUUUGGUGAUUCCAAGAAUUACCAUAGAGAAAAGUUGACAUUUGAGGUUGUGGAUUUCUAGAGUGCCUAUCAUGCUAUUCUGGGCUGGCCAGCUUAUGCACGCUUUAUGGCUCGACCAUGUUACGUGUACCUCAAAUUGCAGAUGCCUGGUCCCAAAGGGGUGAUCACUAUCACUGGUAAUCGGAAGAAGGUGGAAGAGUGCUUCCAAAAGGGCUCAAAGAUCGUCGAUGCACACAUGGCCAUAGUAGAAUUGCAAGAAUAUAAAAAAAUGCAGAUCCGAGUGAUUUGUUGCGAGCCAAGAAGCCCACCACGGAUUCAGCAUUCCAGUCGUCUAGCGAAACAAAGUUGAUUCACAUUCACCCAACGGAUCCCAAUGCUGCUCCGACUCACAUUUCAACGACACUCGACUCCAGAUAGGAAGAAGCGCUCACCCAGUUCCUUCGUGAGAACUGGGACAUCUUUGCAUGGAAACCUUCGGACGUGCCAGGUGUUCCCAGGGGACUGGCUGAGCACCGUUGGCGAGUCGACCCGAAAGUGAAGCCAGUCAAAGAACAUCUUCGACGGUCCGUCGUACAAAAGAGGAAGGCAAUCGGUGAAGAGGUGGCUUGGCUUUUGGCAGCUCAGUUUAUCCGUGAUAUUUACCACUCCAAGUGGUUAGCCAAUGUGGUCAUGGUCGCAAACAAGGAUGACUCACUUCGCAUGUGCAUCGACUUCAAACAUAUCAAUCGGGCCUGCCCGAAAGAUCACUUUCCUCUCCCUAGCAUUGACCAGAUAGUCGACUCGACUGUGGGGUGCGACCAGAUCCGUUUGUACGGACCCGACGAGAUAAAAACAGCAUUCAUCACCCCAUUUGGGUGCUUCUGUUAUGUCACUAUGCCAUACGGUUUGAAGAACACUGGAGCGACAUUCAUGCGGAUGAUUCACAAGUGCCUGCUCACUCAGAUCAAUCGGAAUGUGGAAGCAUACAUGGAUGACAUUGUGGUCAAGUCACAUAAAGGUUCCGACCUACUGACUGACCUUGCUGAAACCUUUGCCAACCUCAGAAGGUAUGAUAUCAAGCUUAAUCCAUCAAAGUGCACGUUUGGAGUUCCGGGCGGAAAAUUACUCGGUUUUCUCGUUUCCGAACGAGGGAUCGAUGCUAACCCAGAGAAAGUGGGUGCUAUACUCCGGAUGAAACGCCCUGUGCGUGUGCAUGAUGUUCAGAACCUUACUGGUUGUUUGGUCGCGCUAGGUCGAUUCAUUUCUCGCCUCGGUGAAAAGGCACUGCCUCUUUACCGACUGAUGAUGAAAUCAGAUAAGUUCGAGUGGUCUCCUGAAGCUGAUGUAGCAUUUGCAGAGCUAAAAGCCCUGCUUUCCACCCAGCCGGUGCUUGCUGCUCCAAUCAGCAAAGAGCCUUUGCUGCUUUAUAUAGUUGCCACUGGACAAGUCGUCAGUAUAGUACUUACGGUUGAGCGGGAACAAGAAGGAAAAGCUUAUAAAGUUCAGCGCCCGGUUUAUUAUAUUUCUGAAGUUCUGACUCCGUCAAAGCAGAGAUAUUCACACUAUCAGAAGCUUGUUUAUGGGAUUUACAUGACCACAAAGAAGGUUGCACACUAUUUCUCUGAUCACUUUGUUAGAGUCAUCAGCGACGCUCCAUUAUUGGAGAUUCUGCACAACAGAGAUGCAACUGGUCGAGUGGCAAAGUGGGCGAUUGAACUCCUUCCCUUAGAUAUCAAGUUUGAGGCCAAGAAAGAUAUCAAGUCCCAAGCAAUAGUAGAUUUCCUCGCCAAGUGGAUCAAACAGCAACUGCCGACUCAAGUUCACUCGGAGCACUGGACCAUGUUCUUUGAUGGGUCCAAAAUGCUGAAUGGUUCUGGUGCUGGGGUGGUACUGGUAUCCCCCCGAGGAAACAAGCUCAGAUACGUCCUCCAGAUUCACUUCGAUUCCUCCAAUAACGAAGCAGAAUAUGAAGCACUCCUAUAUGGGUUACGUAUGGCCAUUUCACUCGACGUCCGUCGCCUUAUGGUUUACGGCGACGCAGAUUUGGUGGUCAAUCAAGUGAUGAAAGAAUGGGACGUUAGAAGCCCAGCCAUGACUGGUUACUGCAAUGCGGUGAGGAAGUUGGAAAAGAAGUUUGAGGGGUUAGAGCUCCAUCACAUACCCCGUCUGAAAAAUCAGGCAGCCGAUGACUUGGCAAAGAUAGGUUCCAAGAGAGAAGCCAUUCCCAGCAAUGUGUUUUUGUUCGUCACACACCGACAGUUCAAGAAGAUCCUUUUACUGAAGAGCCCCCGCAGCCUAAGAGCGCCACAGAUCCGACUGAAGUCGAGGUCCUAGCCGUGGUCGACCUAAUCAUGGAGGUUUUGGACAUUACUCCCGACUGGACAGUGCCGUACAUUGCAUACAUCCUCAGAAAGGAACUCCCAGAGGACGAAGAAGAGGCUCGGCUGAUCAUCCGUCGAUCCAAGGCCUUUACUAUGGUAAGAGGACAAUUGUUCAGGGAAAGCGUGAUGGGAGUCGGUCAGAGAUGCAUAACGCCAGAAGAAGAUCGAAUGAUCCUCAACGACAUCCACUCGGGGACCUGUGGUCACCAUGCGUCCUCUCGGGCCAUCAUGGCUAAAGCAUACCGAGCCGGAUUCUAAUGGCCACGAGCAAAUGAAAUGGCGAAAGAUAUAGUCGACAUAUGUGAAGGCUGCCAGUUUUACUCGGACACGUCUCACAAGCCAGCGUCAGCCCAGAAGACCAAUCCCCUCGUCUGGACCUUUGUUGUUUGGUGAUUGGAUAUGGUUGGACAACUGAGAACUGGUAAGAGCGGCUUCACUCAUGUGCUCAUGGCAGUCGACAAGUUUACCAAACGGAUCGAAGCUAAACCUAUCAAGAGUCUUGAAGCCAGCACCGCUGUCAGUUUUAUCAGAGAAUUGACAUUCAGAUAUGGAGUUCCACAGAGCAUCAUCACUGACAAUGGGGCGAACUUCGAUUCUGAUGAGUUCAGAGCUUUUUGCGCUUCUCAAGGCACACGAGUUGAAUAUGCUUCAGUCGCUCACCCGCAGUCGAACGGACAAGUAGAAAGAGUGAAUGGCCUAAUUCUCAAAGGACUAAAACCCCGACUGAUGCGUGAUCUCAAACAUGCAGCAGGCGCUUGGGUCGAUGAACUUCCGUCAGUUCUUUGGGGUUUGAGGACAAAUCCCAAUCGAUCGACUGGACGAACUCCUUUCUUUUUGGUCUAUGGAGCUGAAGUUGUUCUGCCAAGUGACCUGCUCCACAACGCAACCCGAGUCGAGCUCUUCUCCGAAGAGGAAGCAGAGCAGGCCCGGCAGGAUUCAGUCGACCUCUUAGAGGAGGAAAGCGAGAUGGCCUUGAUCCGGUCGACCAUUUAUCAGCAAGACUUACGUCGAUUCCACGCCAGAAACGUGAGGAGUCGAACCUUUCAAGAAGGAGACCUGGUUCUUCGAGUGGAUCAACAGAAACCACACAAGCUCGCCCCGGCUUGGGAAGGUCCCUUCAUCGUCACCAAAGUUCUCCACAAUGGAGCAUACCAUCUUUAUAGCGUUGAGCAUCAGAAGGACGAGCCACAGGCUUGGAAUGCGGAGCUGCUUCGCCCCUUUUAUACUUAAGCACUCGUUCAAAUAAAAUGUAAUAAGAAGUACCUUUGUAAUUUGUUCGUCAAAGACAAGAGCUUUUCGGUCUUCUCGCACGAUUGUUGUUGUUUUUAUUUACCUCCGAAAUCCCCCAGUGGGUGGGCUUAGCCGCGAAUCCAUUUCGCCUAAGUUCGAAAGAAAAUCCUACCGAGUGAUGAGCAAGCCUCUUACUCGGGAGACUUAGCCGCGAACCCGUUUCACCUAAGCUCGAAAGAAAAUCCUACCGAGUGGAGAGCAAUCCUCCCACUCGGGGGAUUAGCUGCAGUCCAGUACUCGCCUAAGUUUGUAAAAUCCUACCGAGUGGAGAGCAAUCCUCCCACUCGGGGGCUUAGCUGCAGUCCAGUACUCGCCUAAGUUUCUAAAAAUCCUAUUGAGUGGAGAGCAAUCCUCCCACUCGGGGGCUUAGCUGCAGUCCAGUACUCGCCUAAGUUUGUAAAAAUCCUACCGAGUGGAGAGCAAUCCUCCCACUCGGAGGCCUAGCUGCAGUCCAGUACUCGCCUAAGUUUGUAAAUAUCCUACCGAGUGGAGAGCAAUCCUCCCACUCGGGGUCUUAGCUGCAGUCCAGUACUCGCCUAAGUUUGUAAAAUCCUACCGAGUGGAGAGCAAUCCUCCCACUCGGGGGCUUAGCUGUAGUCCAGUACUCGCCUAAGUCUGUAAAGUCCUACCGAGUGGUGAGCAAUCCUCCCACUCGGAGGCUUAGCUGCAGUCCAGUACUCACCUAAGUUUGUAAAAUCCAACCAAGUGGCGAGUAAUCCUCUCACUCGGGGGCUUAGCUGUAGUCCAGUGCUCGCCUAAGUUUAUAAAAUCUGCAAGGAUGACGAGGUGCAGGUCGACCGCGGUCCUCUUCUCCGAGAUACGCCAGAAAUACAACGUACGCUCCAUCCUUGUCCGCAAGGAUGACGAGGCGCAGGUCGACCGUGGCCCUCUUCUCCGAGCUAUGCCACAAAUAUAAUGUAUGCUUCAUCCUUGUCCGCAAGGAUGAAGAGGCGCAGGUCGACCGCAGCCCUCUUCUCUGAGCUACGCCACAAAUACAACGUACGCUCCAUCCUUGUCCGCAGGGAUGACGAGGCACAGGUCGACCGCGGCCCUCUUCUCCGAGCUACGCCACAAAUACAACAUACACUCCAUCCUUGUCCGCAAUGAUGACGAGGCGCAGGUCGACCGCGGCCUCCUUCUCCGAGCUACGCCACAAAUACAACGUAUGCUCCAUCCUUGUCUGCAAAGGCCGACGAAGCGCAGGUCGACAGCAACCUUCUCCUCCGAGCUAUGCCACAAACCCAACGGAGCAGAUCCCAAAAGCAAUCGCAAGUAUACUCAAAAGCAAUUCGGAUAAAUCCUAAAGUUCCAAGCAGCAAAUCAAAAGUAUUCAAGCAUCAAGCCCGAAGGAGUUUAACGGUUACAGCAAUCACUAGGCAUUCCGAGGCAAAUUUAAGGCAGAUUCAAAUCUCAUAAGUUUGUUCACUCGGCAAGAGGAGGGCUAGCAGGUUCGAUGAAUUCGUCCAAGUCGAUCCCAUCCGCGAUCCGAGUGGCAGCAGCGAUGAAAGUCUCCAUGUAGGACUGGAAGUCAUGCCUUUUGGUGUUGGCGACCUUGAUCGCCGCCAGCUUGUCUUCACGAGCUUCCUUGCAGUGGACUCGUACCAAAAACAGCGCCACAUCAGCACCACACCGGGCGGAGGACUUCUUCCAUUCUUGCACUCGAUCAGGGAUCUCGUCGAGUCGAGCCAUCAGAGAUUCCAGGUCAUUUUGAAGCAUCGCCCUUGGCCAGAGCAAUGAGUCGACUCGUGAGACUGCCACCUUCAGACGCGCGAGGUAACUUGUGACACCGGUGAAAUGAGACUCCAGUCGGAGCACGUUCAUGGCAGUUUCAUCACAAACUGGAGAAGCGAUAGGGUCCAGACCCGUCUGACCCUUCCGGUUUCCUCGUCAAAGUCUUGACAGAAUUCUGAAGUCAAAAAGUUAGUGAGUCGACUAGACAUGAUUCAUUUGCAAGCAUCAACACAGUCGGUUUAAAAAGAGUACCUUCCAGCAUAAGAUAGAGCUUCUUGGCAAGAGUUCUUAGAUAAGCUUCCGUAUCAUUCCUCUUAUGGAUCGCAGACUCUAGCUUUUCAUUCAAGGCAAUUUUAUCCUUCUUCAGACGACUCACUUCUCAGUUAGACUCAUUGAGACAAGACUUCAGGUUGUUCACCUCCCCUUCCAACGCCCCGACUGAAGCCAGCUUCUGGUCUGCAAGGGCAGUCUUAUCCUUGGCUUCCUUCUGUGCAGCUACAAGGUCUGAGUCCUUUUUCUCCAAAGCCAACUUCAUUUUCUCUGCAGAAGAAGCAAUCAGAUCAAAUAAGAGAUCGAAAGAAAUAUUUUAAAAGACGAUCGACGUGAACAGUCGACAGGCAGUUACCUUCCAUACCAGCAGCUUCAUCUUGAGCUUUCUUCAAAUUCUGUUGGGCCAGCUCCAAGUCGACAUUGAGUUGCCUCUGCUUCUCCUCAAGUUCAACAAACUUAGAAAGGAGAGUACAAAAUUUCUGCAGAAGGCAAAAGACAUAUCAAUCGACAAGAUCAAGAGUUCACUUAGACCCCAGCCGACUGCACGCAGUCGACUGCGGUCUCGAGGACUACACCCAGCGGGUGCACUUGGCGUGCCCCCGCUGAUUCAGACCCAGCUUGACCGGUUCGCCUGGGUCAAGUCAAAAAAAAUCUAUCCAGACCACAGUCGACUACCAGCAGUCGACUACGGUCUCGGGGACUACACCCAGUGGGUGCACUUAGCGUGCCCCCACCAGUUCAGAUCUCAUUCGACCGGUACGGUAGGGUCGAGUGGAAGAAAAGAAAGGAAGAAAGAACUCAGACCCCAGUCAACUGCCAGCAGUCGACUGCGGUCUCGGGGACUACACCCAGUGGGUGCACUUAGCGUGCCCCCACCAGUUCAGAUCCUACUCACCCAGACCAAGUGGAAGAGCGCAAAUACCAAAGACAACAAAACACCCAGUGGGUGUACAGAUUCGACGCAAACAACAGGAGAUUGUAUGGAAGAAAAAAUUUCGGGUAGCAUAUCUUAAUAGAAUAAGGUCAGUCGAAAGUCUACUUACUUGGACAUUGGCCCGGAGAGCAGCGCUGGCGUCGUAAGCAGCCUGGCUAUUCUUGUGCACCGUCUUCAUCCGCUCUGUCAUCACGUUAGCCUGACGGAUGGCUUCCGUAGCCGCAUCUGACUGGUUUUCCAGAACAGGGUAGCUGGUGAACAAGGGGGCAGACGACCCGGGUGCAGCAGAUUGGAGCUCCGGAGCAGGAGAUUGGACGACUGAAGGAAACGCGGUGCAGUCGACAAUGCGGGGCGCUCACUCGACAAGGGUACAACGAAAGUUACAGAGGCCACGCCCGCGUCUUCAGAUUGACGGACGGUCGGUGUUGUCGUUGGUCCCUGUUGAGAUGUCUUGCUAGCCACUACCUUUUUGUUGUUUCUGGACCUAGGAGCCACAUCUUCAUCAUCAUCUGGGAGAUCAAUGACGUUGGGUGGAGCUGCAGAGAAGUUCAGUCGACCCCAAGUGAACCGCUAGAAUUCAAUCAGCCAAGUAAUCAAGAACAAGAUCAUAAGAGUUUUUACCUGGGUUGGAGGUAACCGCGUCUUCCAUCUCCUCGUGUCGGUACUGGUAAGAAGAGGUUCCUGAUGUAGCAACACUGCAAAUGUCCACACUCAGUUGGUUACAUUCUGUUGCUCGAGUCGACGAAAAUAACAGAUCAGAUGAUUACCUAGAGAUGGUGGGGACGGUCACUUUGAUCCUGGGCAUAGCCUUCGGUAGUUUGGAGGUGGCCUUCGAUGCUUUUGCGCAGGAGGCGAUACAACCUUGAGCUGCUUCGGAGCCUUCUCAAUCGGCGCUAGGGAAGACGUCCGGGGGCGCUUCGAAGAUUGCCCAGUCGGCGCGGUCGCCCGGACUGGGGUGCUGACCGGGUCGUGAGCGUGCUUGGAUCUCCUCUCUCUCCGAGGAGGCGAGUCGACCUCCUCGUCAUCACUCGAGUCGUCGCUGUCCUCCCCCUCCUCGGCAUCCGAGUGCCACUCGCCACUCUCGCCCCGCUCGCUCCUUCCUCGACGCCUUGCUCUUGCACUCCAUUGGGCAUCGAGUACAUAUCAAUGAGGGCCUGAAAGGACAAUGUGCAAAGGAAAUACAGUCGACCAUCAACAAGGUGUCACACAGUGAAUCAAGAAGAUACUCAGCAAAGCAGAAUCAUACCUGUUCUGGCUGGCGCGAGUGGUCGAAUGGAAUCACCCUCCUAGACCCCCGGGGGUUGUCUUUGUUGCCGAUGAUUCCCCUCAGCCACUUCUCCACCGUGUCUUCGCUGAUGUCCUCUGGGUGGAUCCUAGUGGAGUCCUCGAGUCCCGAGUACAUCCACAUCGGAUGGUCACGGGCCUGAAGCGGUUGAAUGCGUCGACUAAGAAAGACCUCCACCAGGUCCAUCCCAGUCACUCCAUCGCGGACAAGUUGGACGACCCGCUCGACCAACAUCUUGACAUGCGCCUUCUCUUCUGGGAUCACCCUCAAGGAGGAGGGCCUCUCCACUCGAGCCAGGGAAAAGGGAGGAAGUCCAGUCGACUGACCCGGGGUCGGCUGGUCCUUACAGUAAAACCAAGUCGACUGCCAGCCCCUGACCGAGUCGGGAAGGAUCAUCGCUGGGAAGGUACUCUUGUUCCUCAUCUGGAUCCCGAGGCCACCGCACAUCUGGAUCACCUGCGUCCUCUCAUCACUCGGAUUGGCCUUCUUGACCGACUGGAAGCGACAAGUGAAUAUGUGUUUGAAGAGACCCCAGUGCGGUCGACAACCCAAUAAAUUUUUGCACAUUGACACAAAGGCAGCCAGAUAAACUAUGGUGUUUGGAGUGAAGUGGUGGAGUUGAGCCCCGAGGAAGUUCAAAAAGCCAUGAAAGAAAGGAUGGGGAGGCAAAGAAAACCCGCGGUCGACGUGAGUGGCGAGGAGAACGCACUCACCCUCCCACGACUGCGGCUCGGUCUCGUUCCCCGGGAGCCGCGCCUAUUUGUGGGGCAUCAGUCCCCCCUCCACCAGGUCGUCGAGGUCGCCCUGCUUAUCGUCGAGCGGAUCCAGUCGCCCUGGAUCCAGCCCGGCAGCAGGCCGGAUCUUGACGAGGAUCCGCCCCGGCUGGUCCUCUUGUCCUUCGCCUUCGCGGUCGCCUUCUUCGCGUGCUCCAAUGCCACUGUCUUCUCUUUUCCCAUGACGGCGGAUCGAGCCCAAGCAAGGUUGCGGCGCCGAGAAUGGAAGCGGGCGCGACGGAGAAGUCUGAGGAAGAAGGAAGAGAAUGAGAGCGCACAGUUCAAAGGCCCGGUCCGGUGUCUUUCAUAAGGUCAUUCCCGAGUGACUGAUUUGUAGGCCCAGGCGAUCUAAACAAAUCCCACAACAGUCACGCGCAUGAUACGUGGCGAAAAAGGUGGAGCAGGGAUCGAGGCAACCUGCCUAAUCCAUCUCGAUUACCACGGCCUCGUCUGUCCGGCGCGCUUACCAAAAUUCAAAUCCCGCGAAAUCUACAGAGAGCAGAGCAACUUGUCAGACGGAAAACAUCCUCCACAUUGUCAUUCGGAACUCUACUUUGAAAGUUCACUCGACAAAAACUAAGAAUGGACCAAGGCGACUGAAAAAGAAGUUGAUGUUAUUCCACUACUAGGGAAAAGCCUAGCAGCAGCGCGGGUUUUCGGCCUUUUAGUAGCGCGGGGGCCGGCGCUACUAAUAAGGCGCUACAGCUAACGUAUAGCAGUAGCGCUGGUCCCCCCGCACUACUGCUACACAAGUGUUGCAGCGCCGCUCUUAAAGGAACCUCGCUACUGCUAAUAGCUAUAUCGUGCUUCCCCUGUUCGCGCUACUGCUACAACCGCGCUGCUGCUAACUUUUCUCCACUCGCUACUGCUAUUUUUAGUAGUUUUUUUUCGGCAUAUUUGUUUUGUAUUUGAACAGGCUUUAUAGAAGAAUCUUUAGCACAUACAAAUUUCAUCAUGAUACACAUACAAAUGCCUGCGAGACCAUAAAUGUAAUCAUGGCAUAUACAUACAAAUAGUCUCGUCAUAAUCAUCAUCCAACACAAAGUGGUAUCUUUUCAUCUUCUCGAAAAUAGCGAUACAUGCAAGUCUCGAAUACUUGCAACUACAAUGUCAUCCAUCUAAACAAAGGUAUACGCGAGAAGAGCUAUCACUAUGAGUGAGAGCGGAACUAUGCAAUACAUGAGAUGGCGGUUACGAGUCCUCUCUCGCCCUAGCGUGAACCUCAAGUAACUAGCUUCUCCUUCUUGUUUGCUUUUGAAGCCUUUAUGGCUGGCGUCCGAGAACCCAUUCCCUUGCGCCUGACACUCAUGCCACUCGUUGUACACCCCCGGAACCUUCCCUUUGUACAUGACAUAGCAGUUCCAUCUUGCCAUCAAGAAACUAGGUACCUGUUAGAGAUGCAUGUUCAUGAAGAGGAUGUACAAUCAUAUAUAUGCAACAAAAUAUACUAGAGAACACCGAAAAAGAAAGGGUUAGCAACUAGAUGCAACAUACAGUAUGCAAAUUAAUUAACUAGAGGUACGCAGGUCAUCGUACGCAAACUAACAAAGUAGCGUUACGCAAGUUCGGCAGGGAUCGUGGACAUCACAAAGUUGCAUCGCUACAAAUAGUAUACAAGUUCAACCGACACAUAUCAUCACCAUCAUCGACAUCAUAAAUCACUAGAAGUUCCAUCCUUCCAUAUCAUCGAGGAUGGACCCUAGCUUCUUGAAUGGCGUGAGGUCUAGACGUUGCAUGCCUAUGCGAGUUCGGACGUCAGCUCGCGAUAUAGGGCCGUGGUGGAACAUCCCCUUCUCAUCGACGACUUCUUUCAUGAUGAUCAUCGCAAUGUCGCUUUGGAUGCGAAAGAAGUCAUCUCUAAGUUUAUAAUCCGCUUCUCCAUGAGAUUCUAGCCACUUGUGGAUAUGAUCAUCAUUUCUGCUUCUCAUGCGAAGCUUUUGGUGAUCCAUGUUGAACUGAAUCAUGAGAUGGAGGAUGUAGAAUCCAUCCUUCUUGCUUGGUUUUGGGACUUGGAUGCAGGAGAAGUUAGUUUUAUGCGCGAAACCCAUCUUCUUGUUCCUUUGUUUCCUGAUCUGCAUGUGGCCACCUCUAAAGCUGAAGCCUUGGAGAGCAUCAUCUAGAAUAUUCAUUAUGUGGGUGUAGUCUUUUUUCUUGUAGUCUCUGGAAGGGUCAAAAUACACGGCGUGGGAGACUUGCGGAUAAAGAACAAUAAGUACGGCGCGCCCGUUGCUGCGGGGAAAAGAAACCUCAAAUUAUUCCCCAUAGAGAGAGAAGGAAUGAUUGAAAUGUAUAAAAGGAUUCUUCGAAACUGACUUACUUUGGAUGAUAAGGCACGAGGACAAUUUCGGCAUGACCUUUGCUAAAAAAUGGACAUAUCGAGCGCCUGAAAUUCACCGGAGCGGAAAUGAAUCAACAUUCCGGCGUAACAUAGGCAACUCGGAUCAUUUACCAAAACAUGACAUGUCCAAAACAUGACAUAUCCACAUAUCACAUGUCCAGUUCAAAUUUGCAUAUAAAUUCAGCAAAUUUUGAAACCUAUCUAAAUUCAUAACUAAAUAGAUAACCUAAUUAACAUAACUAAAACCUAAGUAAAUUAACCCUAGCUAGCAGAGAGAGAGGGGGGGUUCACAGAGGGUGCAGGGCGAGGAGGCAGGCCCGACGAUGGUCGAGGUUGGGAGGGGAGGAAGCAGAGGAGGGAGGCGAGGGCCGACGGGUCGGGGGCGAGCGCUGGCGCCGGNNNNNNNNNNNNNNNNNNNNNNNNNNNNNNNNNNNNNNNNNNNNNNNNNNNNNNNNNNNNNNNNNNNNNNNNNNNNNNNNNNNNNNNNNNNNNNNNNNNNNNNNNNNNNNNNNNNNNNNNNNNNNNNNNNNNNNNNNNNNNNNNNNNNNNNNNNNNNNNNNNNNNNNNNNNNNNNNNNNNNNNNNNNNNNNNNNNNNNNNNNNNNNNNNNNNNNNNNNNNNNNNNNNNNNNNNNNNNNNNNNNNNNNNNNNNNNNNNNNNNNNNNNNNNNNNNNNNNNNNNNNNNNNNNNNNNNNNNNNNNNNNNNNNNNNNNNNNNNNNNNNNNNNNNNNNNNNNNNNNNNNNNNNNNNNNNNNNNNNNNNNNNNNNNNNNNNNNNNNNNNNNNNNNNNNNNNNNNNNNNNNNNNNNNNNNNNNNNNNNNNNNNNNNNNNNNNNNNNNNNNNNNNNNNNNNNNNNNAUAUAUAUAUAUAUAUAUAUAUAUAUAUAUAUAUAUAUAUAUAUAUAUAUUACAUCAUUUGACCGGUUCCUCAGCGCUGACGUUUUCGUUUUUGAGUCAGCUUCUUUCCCUUCUUGUUCGUCGAAGAAUAAUUGAGCCCCUCAUUAUGACUUUGCCUUUUCCAUGGAGUACGAUUUUUCUUUGGUAAUGUAGUAUUGAUUCUUCUUUUGAUGUAUACUUCAUCAUCGUCGUCAUCUUCCCUCAUUGGGUUGCGGUACUGAUCAUAAUCUUCCUCUUUGGCGACUCCAUCCAUUCCAAUGAUGUUUCUUUUGCCUUUCCUCACGACAACACGACUGGGAUUGCAUGGGUCGGUUAUGAAGAAGCAUUGUGUCACGUGCUUAGCGUGUACCCAUGGCUCGUUUUUUGCGAUAGCGUUCACGGUAGCGCUCUUGGCGUCGGGUAUAGUCAUGGUAGUGAAAAUCCGGCUUUCUCUUUCGACAUUCUUAGCCCAUCUGACACGGAACAUCGUCGUGUUGUGCAGUCUAGAGUAGUCAAGCUCCCAGAUCUCCUCGACCCUUCCAUAAAAUCGUUCAGUUGCGCCGUUGUCGUUGUCGGUCAUGCAUUCCAUUGUCACCCCUGAGUUUUGAUAUUCAUCACUAUCCAUAUCUUUGGCCUCCGUGUAGAACGCGUAUCCGUUGAUAUCAUAUGCCUGAUAGGUUACGAGGUUGGGCGAGGGGCCAUGUGAUAAGGCGUAUAUGAGAAAUCCGUCCUUAGAGCCCUGCUCCGGGGGAUUAGCAAUAAUAUCCUCUUUGAACCAAUGCAGGAAAGUGGAGUUGUGCUCUCUAGUAACUUCGGCCUCCGUCCUGCAUACCCCCCGGUCACGAUACUUCUUCGCGAUAAUUUCUUUGUGCAGUGCCACGAAAGGAUCUACCUCGUCUAGGUGUUGUAGCACUACCAAGUUUGCUCUGUGAAAGUCGCUGCGUCGAUCUGAGUAUGCCACGUGCAGUUCCCUGCGACCGUUGCAGUGACCUUCUCCUUCGAGCCUCCCAUCGUGCUUGUUAACGGGCAAACCAACACUAACACCAGGCGGCUGGUCUGCGCCAUAUAGAAAUUUCUCACAGAAAGAGAUGCACUCUUGUGUCAAAUAGCCCUGGACGAUGCUUCCAUCCAGACGGGACAUGUUACGAACGAAUUCUUUGAUGAUCCCAUUCAUCCUCUCAAACGGCAUCAUGUUGUUCAGGAAUGACGACCCCAGGUCUAUUAUGUCAUCCACAAUAUGGACACACAGAUGCACCAUCACGUCAAAGAACGCGGGUGGGAAGUACAUCUCAAGCUCAUUCAGUAUCACAACAAUCUCUUCCUGUAGCCUUCGGAGCUGCUUCACACUGAUCGACUUUCAAGAGAUGACGUCGAAAAAGUUGUAGAGACCAAUAAGCGUGUCACGGACGUGCUUGUCCAUUAUCCCUCUAAGGGCAACAGGUAAUAAAUGUGUCAUCAUCACAUGACAGUCAUGAGACUUCAUCCCGCUAAACCUUUUCUUGUCCAUGUCUAGAUAUCUACUUAUCUUGCCACAGUAACCGGAACUAACUUUGACUCCGGUAAGGCACUUAAAGAAUUGAUUGAUCUCAGCCUGACUUAAGGUGAAGCAAGAAGGGGGGCAAUAAUCCUCAUUCUUUAUUUUCUUGCCCUUCUUCUCCCGUGCCUCUGUCUCCGUCUCUGUCUCGUCUGACAUUUUACGGGGCGGCAUGUGCAGAUCUUCCCUGAUUUUCAAAUCUUGCAAGUCUUUUCUUGCCUUCGGCCCACCCUUGGUCUUAUCCGGCAUGUUCAUCAGUGUUGCGAGCAAGCUCUCAAGGACAUUCUUACAUAUAUGCAUUUGAUCAAGGCAAUGAGGUGUAUCGAGUUUGUGCCAGUACUCCGAGUCCCAGAACACAGACCUCAUCUUCCAUACCUUCAGCAGCGGCUCCGGCGCCUUUCUCAUCGUCUUUCCCGGCGUGGGGCACUCCUUCCAGUUUUUCAACAGCUCGUCGAUUUCGGCACCGCUCCGCUUACGUGGAGGUCCUCGAUGCUCAGCGUGACCAUUGAAUAGAUCUCCACGGUUUCUCCACGGAUUGUGCUGUUCGAGCCAUCUUCGAUGCCCCAUGUACACGAUUUUCCCAGACCCGCCAUCUUUCCUUGACGUUAGCUGCUGAGACGUCGUAUCAUCCAUGCACCGCGUGCAUCUGCAAUAUCCAUGGCACACCUGGCCUGCCACAUAUCCGUAACCAAGAUAGUCGUGCACUGUCAUGAUCAGCGCGGCUCUCAUGUUGAAAUACUCACCUUUGCUGGCGUCCCAUGUCUUGGCCGGUGUUUUCCAUAACGUGUCUAACUCCUCUUGAAGUAGCCCCAGAUAGAAAUUAAUAUUAUUUCCUGGUUGUUUCGGCCCUUGAAUAAGCAUGCUCAUGUGAAUGUACUUCGAUUUCAUGCACAGCCAGGGGGGAGGUUGUACAUCCAUACAAACACGGGCCAUGUGCUAUGGUUGGUGCUCUGGUUGCCAAACGGAUUCAUGCCAUCGGUACACGCACCGAGCACGAUGUUCCUUGCAUCACAUUCAAAAUACCGAUAGAAGCUGUUCAACGCUCUCCACUGGCUUCCAUCCUUGACGUGUCUUAGCUUCGGAUCAUCUCCAUCGUCGGGCUUCUUCCUCUCCGCGUGCCAGCGCAUUAGCUUUGCUUCCUUGGGAUCUACAAAAUACCUCUGGAGACGGGGAGUGAUCGGUAAGUACCAUACCACUUUCUGGGGACAUUUCUUCCCAGCCUUCUUGUAUCGAGAAGCAUUGCACACUGGACAACUUGUUUUUUCCGCGUGCUCCUUCCGAUAAAUUAUGCAAUCGUUGAUGCAUGCAUGGUAUCUAACGUGUGGCAGAUCAAGAGGGCACACGAUCUUCUUGGCCUCAUCAACACUACUAGGACAUAGAUUACCCUCGGGAAGAACAUCCUUUAGGUACUUGAGAUGCUCAUCGAGGCUAGUGUCGAUCCAUUUGUUUUUAGCCUUCGCCUUCAGCAGUUGGAGUGUGAAACUCAAGCGGGUCACCUCAGGAUUGCAACCAUCAUACAAUGGAGUGUUCGAGUCUACCACCAGUUGCUCUAGCUUAGCCUCCUCUCUAGAAGCAGCUCUCUCAAUACUCGUCUCCUUGCGAAGCAAUGCUUGAACAUGAGGGUCCCGCACGAUUGAACUUAGUACCGACGAACUCUGCUGCGUGGAAUCCAUGUCGUUCUCUCUACCGCCAUGUCCGGCCCCUUCUCCGCCGCCAUGUCCGGCCUCUUCCCCGCCACCAUUAUCGAUCAUCUCUUCGUCUUGCCCUGUGUCAUCAUUGCCUGCCCCGUCGGCAUCCUCAACAUCGUCAUCCUCAUCUUCAGUUAUCCACCGAGUAUAGCCAUCCAUGAAACCACUCAUGAGCAGGUGCGCUUCGACACGACCAUCGACAUGGGGGUCAAGCCAAACUAUUCCUUUGCAUUUUCGACACGGACAUAAAACCUCUGUCAGGUUAUUUUCCUUCAUGUCCUGCACCGCCGACCGCAACCACCUGUCCACCAUCGUUCCACUGACCAUCGUCAACUCUGCACGGUAAUAAUAAACAAAUUGAUUAUAAAAAUGCGUGCAUUCAUCAAAGUCAUACAAAAAUUUGGCAUGACCUUCCUUAAAAAUAGGACAUAUAUAGAUCUAGAGUUUGCCCGGAAUUCGCCAAAACGGAAAUAAAUCGAUAUUUCGGCAAAACAUAGGCAACUCAAAUGCACAAUUUGGCGUCAACUCAUGCCACACACACACAAUUUCCAUAAAAAUAUCACACACACAUGCAUAAACAUAUUUCCAUUUUGCAAAAGCAUGAAAUAUUAAUCACACCUCUAUCUCGAGAUCGAGCACACGGUGGAGAUGAUGAUGUAGGGAGGUCAAAAGUGCACAAAGCUCUUCUUGACAAAGAAAGAUCUAGUUAGGGGGCAAACAGGUCACUUAACUAAAUGCUACAUCUACCUAGCUAGCUAAUUUGGGAGGAGACAACUUCAACUAGUGGAGGGGGGAGGAAAAAGAGAAAGGAGAUGAAUUAAUGGAGGUGGUGUAGUUAUAGCUAGGAGUAAUGAAGAGAGAGAAAGGUAGGUAGAAGAGGGAGAGUAAUGGGGGGAGCAGUAUUGAGGAAGAAGAAGAGUGAGAGAGGGAGGAUGUGGGAGGUAGGGGAAAGGGAGGAGAGGAGAUGGGGAGGGGAGGUGGAAAAGGUGGUGGGUGCUGCGUCUUAGCAGCAGCGCGGGAGAGAAAGUGCGCUGCUGCUAAGAGCGUAGCAACAGCGCGCUUUCCUGUCACGCGCUACUGCUAAACGGGCCAACCGUGUGCACAAUUUCAAAAUUAGCAGCAGCGAGGUGACAAAAAAGCGCGAUGCUACUAUGGCAUUAGCAGAAGCGCGCUCCCUGGCGCCGCGCUACUGGUACACUUAUGUCGUUGUGUACUGUCGGUGGAUUUUUGUAGCAGCGUGGUUUAAGCGCCACGCGCUACUGCUAAGUUUGCACCAGUAGCGAGCUAUCCAUAGCCGCGCUACUACUACUUAGCAGCAGCACCUGUUUUUAUGCCGCGCUGCUGCUAAGAUUCUGUGUAUAAGGUUUUCCCUAGUAGUAUUCCCUCAGUUCAUUGAUCCAGAGCAAGAUAUACUCAUAGCACGAAGAAUGAGUCGGAAGUGUUCUCAACUCCUUCCUCACUCAAACCCUGAUCCAUUCGGAGGCUAAUGAUGAAGUCAUGUACCUAGGGUAGGGUCAUGGAUCUGAACAAGAUACCCUCCCCAGGGACAUCCCAAAGAACAAGAAGCAGUCGAAGAAAAAUCAUCAUUCACUCGACCAUAAAGCCAUGUUCCACUCGACAGUCUUGAAGACACUCGACCAUAUAAACAACUACUAGACUAAAAGAAGACUAAGAGCCACUCACUUUGCAACGGUCGGGAUUUAAGUCAUAACUUUAAAGGACAUUUAUGUACUUUUAUUACAGGCGUUACCAGUAACGUCUCCACCUUUAUGUACCUUAAACCCUUCGUAACUGAGGGCGGGAGGGGUCUGGCGAAAUCUAUAUAAGCCACCCCUUCUGAGGGACAAGGGUUCGCACCCCCUAUAACUCACACGCGCAUAAUCCAGUCGACUGCCUUCGGGCUCCGAGACGUAGGGCUGUUACUUCCUCCGAGAAGGGCCUGAACUCGUAAAACUUGCGUGUACAACUCCUCCAUAGCUAGGAUCUUGCCUCUACAUUCCUACCCCCCAUUCUAGUGUCAUACUUAGAACCAUGACAUCGGUAUCAUCCAAACAGUGUGUGUAUGCGCGGUAUCCCUUGUUUCUCUAUCCUAAAAGAUUACUGAGAGCAGGCCAAUCAUUGAUGGUCACGAACAUCAACGCCUUUAGGUCAAAUUCUUCCUGUCUGUGAUCAUCCCACGCACGUACACCUGUUCCAUUCCAUAGCUGUAAGAGUUCUCAACUAAUGGCCUUAGGUACACAAUAAUGUCCCUGCCGGGUUUCUUAGGGCCUUGUAUGAGCACUGGCAUCAUAUUGAACUUCCGCUUCAUGCACGACCAAGGAGGAAGGUUAUACCUACAUAGAGUCACAGGCCACGUGCUAUGGUUGCUGCUCUGCUCCUCAAAAGGAUUAAUGCCAUAUGUGCUUAGACCAAACCAUACGUUCCUUGCAUCACCUACAAACUCCUUCCUAUACUUUCUCUCGAUUUUUCUGCACUGCGACCCAUGAGCGGGUACUCUCAACUUCCCGUCUUUCUCACGGUCUUCUCUGUGCCAUUGCAUCACCUUGGCAUGCUCUUUGUUUAGGAACAAACGUUUCAACCGUGGUAUUAUAGGAGCAUACCACAUCACCUUGGCAGGAAUCUGCUUCUUCCUGGGGCACUCGCCCUCGACAUCACCAAGGUCAUCGUGGGUGAUCUUAUAGCGCAAUGCACCGCAUACCGGGCACGUGUUCAAAUCCGCGUACUCACCGCGGUAGAGGAUGCAAUCAUUAGGGCAUGCAUGUAUCUUCUGCACCUCUAACCCUAGAGGGCAGGCAGCCUUCUUUGCCUCGUACGUACUCUCAGGCAAUUCGUUAUCCUUUGGAAGCAUCUUCUUUAACUUUACCAGCAACUUUCCAAAUGCCUUGUCAGAUACACUAUUCUAUGCCUUCCAUUGCAGUAAUUCCAGUGUGGUGCCCAGCUUUUUCUUGUCAGCUUCACAAUUUUGGUACAACUAUUUCUUGUGAUCCUCUAACAUGCUCUGCAACUUCUUGUUCUCCUUUUCACUUGCGCAGUUUCUCUCUGCAUCGGCAAUGGCCCGACCUAGAUCAUCAGUUGGCUCAUCUGAUGCCUCUUCUUCAGCUUCUUCCCGCAUUGCCGACUCAGCUUCUUCUCGCAUUGCCGGCUCGGCUUCUUCCCCCAUUAUUGUAUCAUCGUAUUCAGGGAACCUGUCAUGGCCAGGAUAGCUAUUGUCGUUCUCUUCUUCUUCAUUUUCUUCCAUCAUAACCCCUCUUUCUCCGUGCUUGGUCCAAACAUUAUAGUGAGGCAUGAGACCGGACUCAAACAGGUGGAUGUGAAUGGUUCUUGAGUUAGAGUAAUUGUGAUUAUUCUUACAGCCAGCACAUAGACAAGGCAUAAAACCAUCCGCCCGCUUGUUUGCCUGAGCCGCAAUCAGAAAAGUAUGCACGCCUUCAACGAACUCGAGAGAGCAUCGGUCAUCGUACAUCCAUUGUUGGCUCAUCUUCAUUACACAUCACCAAAUAGACCAAAUUAAUACAAGUUCAUACAUAAAGUUCAUACAACACUUAUUCUCAUAAAGCAAACAUAUAAAUAACUCUCUAGCUCAAGCAUUUAAAUGCAACAACAAAUGCGAUGAAGAUUGCAACUAAGGUAACAAUUGAUCAAACAGCAUAACGAUACCAAGCCUUAGUACCAAUGGCAUAUUUUCUAAUCUUUCUAAUCUUCAAGCGCAUUUUCUCCAUCUUGAUCUUGUGAUCAUCGACGACAUCGGCAACAUGCAAUUCCAAUUCCAUCUUCUCCCCCUCAAUUAUUUUCAAUUUUUCUUUCAAAUACUCAUUUUCUCUUUCAAAUAAAUUUAACCUCUCGACAAUAGGGUCGAUUGGAAUUUCCGGUUCACAUACCUCCUAGAUAAAAAUAUAUCUGCCAACUUGAUGGGCAUAAUUUUUCAUAAACACGAAAUGCAACAAAAUAGUUAUAAAAGAAAAUAUACCACAUCCGAAUCAUAACCCGGACGAGGGCCGACGGGGACAGAUAUCAAAACCAUGGCACUAUGAAUAACAAACAACGUACGGGUAAGAUAAUUAUACAAGUAACUAUAUAUCUAAAUCACACAAACAUGAUUUUUUUAUAUAAAAAAGAUAAGGACAAGAGGCUCACCCCACAAGGUGGUGCCAGCGACAGGACGGUGCGGAUAAUGGACGGUGGUUAGGACGGAGACGGGAAGACACUAAGUAAACCACACCUACAUAUGCAAACUAAGAGUUAUUUUGAGCUCAAAUUGCAUAUUAAUCAAAUAAACUAGCUACCACAUAUAAUUCCUCCCAAAUUCCUAAAACCCACAAAUUAAUGACUAUAUAAAGCAUUGCAAGAGUUAAUCUAGCAAUGAGAGAUGAAAGGACAAAGUUGAUUACCUUUGUGAUCACUUGAAUGGAUGGGGGCAUUUAAAUCAUGACAAAAUUUGGGCAAAAUGUGUGAGGGAAAGAACAGAGAGGAGAGGUGAAAGGGGAAAAACAGAGCGAGCUCGGGUGGACGAAAGGUUUAUAUAGGAUGACCUUUAGUACCGGUUUGUGCCACGAACCGGUACUAAAGGUGCUGAAGGGGCCCCAGACUGACAACAUCCUACCACCACUCUCUUUAGUACCGGUUCAUGGCACGAACCAGUACUAAAAGUUCGACACAAACCGUUACUAAUGAGAGUGGCCCGCCUAGCCGUUGGAACCGGCACUAAUGGUCACAUUAGUGCCGGCUCAAAAACAAACCUGGACUAAUGAGCUGAACAUUUGACCCUUUUUCUACUAGUGCCUAUUCAAUAUCCAACACUUCCCCUCUAUGUAGAGGAGAUGUACAAAAGAGACGAUGUGUAGGACAAGCACCUCAGUGCACACACAUAUGCCAAAUUCCUAGUGCGGAGCUAUACUUCUCCGACGACCCCGUCCUGAUGACUGCGUGCACAACCAUCUGGGAGAGCAUUCCUCCAUAACUGUGUCCCUUGAGAACUAGCUGCCCAGUGUGCAAUGCUUCUCAAUACAAGAAGGCAGGAAAGAAAGCUCCUCAGAAAGUUGUAUGGUACUUUCCGAUCACUCCCCGUCUGCAGCGGUAUUUCAUAGAUCAUAAGGAAGAAAAGCUCAUGCGCUGUCACGCAGAGAGAAAGAAGCCCGACGAUGAAGAUGAUCCGAAGCUGAGACUCCUCGUAGAUAUUAGCCAGUGGAGAGCAUUCGAUGCCGAAUAUGGAUUUUUCGCAGAAGAUGCAAGGAACAUCAUGCUUGGUGCGAGUACCGAUGGCAUGAAUUAGUUUGGAAACCAGAACACCAACCACCGCACAUGGCCCGUCUUUGUAUGGAUGUACAACCUCCCCUCAUGGAAGUGCAUGAAGACAAAGUACAUACACAUGAGCAUGCUAUUUCAAGGGCCGAAACAACCGGGAAAUAAUAUUAACCUGUAUAUAGGACUUCUGAGAGAGGAGCUAGACAAGUUAUGGAAAGCGUCGGUCAAGACAUGGGAUGCCAACAUAGGAGAUUAUUUGUAUAUGAGAGCCGCACUGAUGACGAAGGUGCACGACUAUCUCGUUACGGUUACACCUCAGGCCAGGUGUGCCACGGAUACUGCGGAUGCACGAGGUGCAUGGAUGAUACAACAUCUCAGUAGCUUACAUCACCAAAAGAUGGCAGGUCUGGGAAAAUCGUGUACAUGCGGCAUCGUAGAUGGCUCAAGAAUGAUGACCCGUGGAGAAAACAUGGAGAUCUAUUCAAUGGUUUGGCUGGGCAUCGAGGACCUCCACAUAAGAGGAGCAGCGCCAAAAUCAACGAGUUGUUGAAAAACUCAGAACAGUGCCCCGCACCGGGAAAGAUGAAAAAGGGUCCCGAGCCACUGCUGAAGGUAUGAAAAAUGAGGUAUGUUUUCUGGCACUUGGAGUACUAGCCCAAUCAUGACACACCUCAUUGCCUUGAUCAAAUGCAUAUCACGAAGAAUGUCCUCGAGAGCUUUCUUUGCACACUGAUGAACAUGCCAGAGAAGACCAAGGAUGGGCCAAAGGCAUGGAAAGAGUUGGAAGAUUUGGAGAUCUGGAGAAAUCUCCACAUGUCGCCCCGUAAAAAGUUGACGGAGGAGACGGAGACGAAGGCGGGGGAAAGGGGAACAAAAGUCAACAAGAAGGAGGAUAAUUAUUGCCCCCUUCUUGCUUCACCUUAAAUGUGAAGGAGAUCGAUCAAUUCAUCAAAUGCCUUAUGGGAAUCAAAGUUAGUUUCGGUUAUUGCGGGAAGAAAAACAUAUUUCUAUACACCAAGAAGAAAAGGUUCAGCGAGUUGAAAUCUCAUGACUGUCACGCGAUGAUGAUGCAGAUACUCAUGGUUUCCAUUAGAAGGAUAAUGGACAAGCACAUCUGUGACAUGCUUACUGGUCUCUGCAACUUCUUUGACAUUAUAUGUCAAAGUCCAUCAGUGUGAAGCAGCUCCGAAGGCUACAGGAAGAUAUCGGUGUCAUACUAUGUGAGCUUGAGAUGUACUUCCCGCCCGCGUUCUUUGACGUCAUGGUGCAUCUGUGUGUCCACAUCGUGGACGACGUUAUCGACCUCGGGCCGACAUUCCUUCAUAGCAUGAUGGCAUUCAAGAGGAUGAAUGGGGUCAUCAAAGGAUUCAUUCGUAACAUGCCCAUCCAGAUGGGAGCAUCGUCCAGGGGUAUCUGACCUAGGAGUGCAUCUCCUUUUGCCAGAAUUAUAUAGGCGGUGGAGACCCUGUUCUUGGUUUGCCCGUCAAGAAGCACCAUGGGAGGCUCAGAGGAGAAGGUCACAACAACGGCUAGAGGGAAUUGCACGUGGACUACUCGGAUCGAGGGAACGACUUUGAUAGGGCUAACUUAGUAGUGAUACAACACCUAGAUGUGGUAGAUGAUUAUGUGACACUGCACAAACAAACCAUCGCAAAGAAGUACCAUGAUUAGGGGAUGCGCAAGACGGAUGACGAAGUUACUGUAGAGCACAACGCCACUUUCUUGCGUUGGUUCAAAGAGAAAGUUCUUGCUAAUCCCCCGGAAGAGGGCGGUUCGGACGAAUUGCUCAUACACGCCUUAGCACAUGGCCCUGUGCCCAAACUUGUGACCUAUCAGGCAUACGAUAUCAACGGGUACACGUUCUACACGGAGGCCAAAGACAUGGAUAGUGAUUACCAAAACUCAGGGGUGACGAUUUAAUGUGUGAUCGACGCCAACGGCACAACUGAAGGAUUCUAUGGAAGGGUCGAACAGAUCUGGGAGUUCGACUAUGCUGGAAUGCACAAUGCGACGAUGUUCUGUGUCAGAUGGGCUAAGGCCGUCCUAAGAGAAAACAAGUAUUUCACUACCAUGUCUAUACCCGACGCUAAGAGCACUACCAUGAAUCUUAACGUCAUCGCCAAAACUUAGCCAUGGGUACAUGCUAAGCACGUGACACAAUGCUUCUUCAUAACCGACAAGACCAAUCCCAGUCGUGUUGUCGUGAGGAGAGGCAAAAGGAGGAGCAUCAGAAUGGAUGGAGUCGGCAACGAGGAAGACUACGACCAAUAUAUAUGGCAAUCCAAUGAGGGAAGAUGAUGGUGACGAUGAAGCAUACGUGAAAAGAAGAAUCAAGACUACAUUACCUAAGAAAGAUUGUACUCCAUGGUGCCGAAAAAGUCACAGCAAGGGGCUCAAUUAUUCAACAACAAAAAAGAAAGGGGAGAAGCUCAAUGUGAAACAUCGUCCACGCAGCUGAGAAACCACCAUUUAUACGUAUGUAUCUAUUUUGUGUAUGCACUUAAGUAACCGUUAUUGGUCAAAUGAUGUAUACAUCGUAUACCCUACAGUGUGGGAGGAGACAUUCUCAUCGACUGCAUGCGAGGCCUUCGGGAGAAAAACAAAAAACAAAAACCAAAAACAAAAAGGAGAAAGCAAUAAAAUAGAAAAAUAAAAGUAAACAAAUUGGAAAGGAAAAUAAUAAAAAGAAAAGUAAACAAAAAAUUAGAAACGGAAAAUAAUAAAAAGAAAAUAAUAAGAUUUAGCAGUAGCACUGGACUAGGACCAGAACUAUAGCUAACUUAGCUAUAGCGUUGGUUUGUAGCUAGUGCUACUGCUAUUUUGACUUAACCCCCACGCACGCGGGCUCAAAAAAUUUCUAAGUCUUUCUCCCCCUCUCCCUCACUCCUCUGCCCUACCCUCGACCAGUCGCCAUUGUCCCCCCUCCCCCGGCCAGCCGCCGCCGUCGCCCUGCCCACCCUCGACCUCGCCGCUGGCUGUCGCCCGAGAGCCCGCCCUCAACCUCACUGCUGUCACGCAGGCCCACCCUCGACCAUGCCUCCGCCACCCUUCCCCCGCCCUCGACCUUGCCACCGCCUGUAGUCCUCUCCCUCUCCUCUCUCCUACCAUCCUCUCUCUCUAUCCCUUUCUCCUCUCUCUCUCUAAUAUGAACCCUAUAAAGGAGUUGGAUGUAUGAACCCUAGGUGUUUAUAUGAACCCUGGGAGAAGAUGUUGGUUCUAUGAUUAGGAAAUUAGGACAAUAUGGAUAUUUUUAGGAUAGUAGGAAUUUUUGUAGGACAGUAGGAAUUUUUUUAGCAAUUUUUAGGAAAUUAUCUAGGGUUACAAUUAGUAAAAUUGUGACAUUGUGACGAUGUUGUUGAUGCUGUUGUGAUGAUGUUGUUAGCUAGGACAGUAUAAAUUAGCUAGGACAAUAUAAAUUAGGAAAAUAUUUUAGGUGAUGUUGUUGCUGCUUUAAACAAAAUUAGUAAAUUUUUGAGUUAACAGAGAGUAGUUAGUAUAUAAAUUAGCCAGGAAAAUUAGCUAGGGCAUUUAGCUUUAAACAAAAAACAGUAGCUAUGUCAUAUGUCAUUGAUAUUUUUCUUUUCAAAAACUUGGUUAAAGUAAUUGUUGCUAUAUAAACAAAAAACAAGAUUGACGUUAUAUGAUAUAUGUCAUUGAUGCUCAUUUGCAUAUUCCAUUCUGGUUGUCAUUGGUGUUCUUUUAUUAUUGGUGAAUAUGAUAUGAUUAAUGUUGGUUGAACGGACAAUCAUCAAAGAAUAUCCAAGUGGCCUAUGUUUUGCCAGAAUGUUCAUUCAUUUCCGUUCCGACAAAUUUCAGGCCCUCCAUGUGUCCACUUUUUAGCAAAGGUCAUGCCAAAAAUUUCGGUGAAUUUCAGCAUGACUUGUGCUAGAUACUAGGACAUAUGGAGCCUAGGAUUUGCCGGAAGGGGAAUGAAUCAACAUUCUAGAAAAAUUGUGGUCACAGCGAUGCACCCCAAGAAAUUAGGACAACAGAGCCGGAGGAAGUGUGCGUGUGCUACGGCAAUCAACUAGGAUGCAUCCUCAGGGAAACCUCCAACAUCAAUGAUGAAAAGUUAAAGAAGAUACCACAUAUGGAGCACAUGCUCCUAAAGAAGUUGCACGAUAGGUUCCUGUUCCCCGGCCGGGAUGAUAGCAAACAUCCGUGGGACGAUGAACCCAUGACAAAGAUAAACAACAAGGCAAUGAUGAUGUUCACCAACGACUUGUCCGCCUAGACAGUAAGGGUGAAAGGCGAUUGCGAAGAAUGAACCGUGGUCCAAGAUUCAUGCCGACAAUCCGACACGAAAGGAAGAGGACUUCGAAAAAUUCUAGGAGACUUGCUAUAAAGAAGAAAUCAAGAAAAAGUCAAAGAAAAUGAAGGCGCCCCAGGCCAAGAAGAUGCCUCCCCACCGCCUCAAAAGUCGUGGUUGCAAGGGGAAGAGGCGCGCAUCGGCCAAGGAGGACGCCGAAUGUGGAAGUCACAGAAUCCCUGACCCCUUGGCGGAGUUCACCGACCCGCAGGAGCUUGACUCGAUCAGGGCCCGGUACAAGUGGGACCAGGUAAAUAAGAUAUUUUUACAUGGACCAGAACAUGAGGGAGUUCAUGAGACUACUGGUUAUUGUUAUAUUACCACCUUAUAUUAGCUUCCAAUCACUUCGACUACUAGUUUUGUCACAUCAGUAAACCAUCCACGUUACUUUUGCAGAAAGAGCAGCACCAAAAGGUAGCCGAAAGUGAUGACUCGUCUCAGUUGUCGGCGAGGCCCAAGUGGGACACCCCUUUCAACCGGGCCCUGAACAUACUGAAAAAGGUCUCGAAGGACAAACCAUCGUCUUAUGGUGGUGUGAACGGCGACACGAGAAGCCGAUGGAAAGAAGAUAGUGAUGGUUGCUUACUCAACAGACCAUCAACGAGAAGGUCGCGAUUGCGGUCCAUAAGACCAAAGCUAAGACCAAAGAAGAGUUGUUCAAGGUAGUCAAUGCAGGGGUAGCUGGUGUCUCGGCUGACUUCACAUCUUCCAUCUCCAGCUUGAUUUCGGCAAUUAUAGAUUGGACGAAGUACAAUCCUGAUGAAGGGCCAGCAAACUUUCCCCUUCCCAGCUAUGUCGGGAGCAAUUCUGUGCACAUCACACCACCAGCACCUACUCAUGCCACUCCACAUGCUCCCGUACCUGGUCCUACUCCUAUUCAUAGCAGCUCGUCCUCUGUCUCUGGCAUGCUCGGCAUGGCUUCGUCUUUGGUAGAGCUUGACACCCUCAAGGUAAUUAUGUGUCAUACCCUCUUCACCAACAUAUCUGUAGUCUUCCAUUUCACUUGCCUUUUGGAUGUUUCACAUCACAAACAUGUCUUCGCAGGCCGACGAUACCCCAUGCACCCUAUUGUACGACAUCAACGGCCGGAAGGUGGAUGUGGGAAAGGCCACGAUCGUGAAGCCGAAGGAUGGCAUGUUCCAUAGCCGACAGAUGCCUGGUGUCUUCAAGGUUUGCGUGGCCAGUGUCAAAGCAGCCUUCGAGGAUUUUUCCUCCUCUGGUACCAGUACCACAUAGAUAUCUGGUGUUCUUGUGGCUUUCUUAUCACAACAAGAUCCUUACUAGGGAUAAUCUGUCCAAGAGGCAACAUGUAGCCAACAUGACCAGCUUAUUAUGUGGUGAACACUAGUCUGUCCAUCAUCUAUUUUUCGAGUGCAUUGUAGGUCAAAACAUUUGGGAAGACAUUGUUGAUACAUUUAGUUUCCCUUGGCCACACAAUAUGACACGGUUAUCUAUUUUGUAGGGGUUGAUCCAAACCUUGACAAUUCACUAGAAUACUUCUGUAUAAAGUUGUAGUUCUCUCUGUUGCCCCCCCCCCUCUUAGCCAAUGGCUAUGUACAAAAUGUAAAGUGUAACCACUCCUUUUUUCAAUAAAGCAGCCGUAAGAGCCUCUCCUGCUGUUAUAAUGUUCAAAAAAAAGAAAACUGAUAUUAAUAUUGCAUGUGUUGUUGCCAUUUGGAGCAUUUGGACCAUGUGUAAUGAAAUGUGUUUUUAGGGUGUGUCGUGGACAAGCACUCGAGUCAUCUUGUUAAAAGUCAGCUCCCUCCUUCAUCUAUGGAAGAUCCUGUGUGUGGGCGACCAAUUAGUUCUACUAUGGCCACUACAAGAAAUAUGUCAACUUGUGACCUUCUCUUAGUGACCCAGCUGAAUUGGUCGUAAAUCCACGACCAUUUCGCUUGGAGGGGCUCAAACCCUCAAAUUGCUUACACCAAAUGGUCACAAAGCAGACAAGAGGCGCCAAUGACCUUAUUUCUACCGGAUUACGACCAAUAUAAAUGGUCAUGAGGUUUUGAACGUGGAUGCAUUGCUACUUAUUGCUUUGACUAGGCGCCACCUCAUUAGUUUUGCCUAUGUGUCAUGUCCAUGUGUCAAUUUUUUCCCUAGGUUGUGAAGCAAACUAUAUUUCUGUCAUUCCCAAAAUUCCCCAAAAAAUGGGCAUUCUUUACUGGGAAAACUUUGUUUUGCCACUCUAGCUUUUGACCACUUUUCUUAUGCCACUCUAGAAUUUGACAUUUUACUUUUGCCACUCUUAGUUUUUGACAAUACAUCACAAUUGCCAUUCCGUGUCAAAAGCAGUAAUUUUAGAGUGGCAAUUACGAUACAUUGUCAAAAUCUAGAGUGGCAAAAGUGAAAUGAAAAGUUAUUGUUUUUGCCAUUGAAUGGCAUUUGUGAUGUAUUGUCAAAAACUAAGAGUGGCAAAAGUGAUAUGUCAAAAUCUAGAGUGGCAUAAGCAAAGUAGGCAAAAGCUAGAGUGGCAAAAACAAAGUUUUCCCUUCUUUACUAUCCAAAUCAUUGCCUCAUGACAAUAUUCAAAUCCAUUUGCCUGGUAAAUCUUCCUUGGCAAAUUUCCAAAGUUUUUGUUCAACUCGAAUUGUUGUGAAGGAUGUACUAGCUAGGCAUAUCCUAAUGAUCUGAAUUUUUGCCACAUCUUCUAUAUUCCCAAAUGAUAGCUCUCCACAAAAUUUGAGCCCCAUCUAACAAUACAUGUGAGUGUGGCUUCAACAUUCAUAUUUCUGUCCAGUGUGGUACGUUGCAAAGCAAGUGACACCUAGGCUCCUUCAUUUGAGCUGCAAAUUUUCCAAGAUAGUGUCCUUAGUAGAUGAUCAUCCUCGACCAAAACUUAGGCCCAUUGGCCAAGUGCAUUUCCCAUACUACUGAUCAAACACUUGGGUGCUAAUUCAUGUUUGAGCAUUGUUUGGUCUCCUCGGGAGAUUAUUCUGUUAUUAUUUUAUUCCAAGCAUCUACCUGGGGAGUGCCAAACCUACUAGACAUGCCUAGGCUUUCCAAAACGCAUGGCAACGCCAUGAUCACGCGGUGACCACGCGGCGGGCAUGCGAGUCUACGCGCUUUGGAGUUGGGGCCCUGGGCCACUGUCCAAACCUCAACGUAUCACCACCAAACCAUGUAUUUAUGCUUAAAUAGAUACUUAUGUACCUAAAAAUUAUUUUUGGAAAAAAAUAACAAACUAUGAGGCAGCUAUAGUUCAAAGUUGACCCGCUUCCAGCUGAAACGGCGGAAAUUUGUCUUUUCACCAGAGAUGGAUCAAACCUUUUGACACCCGACCAUUUUAUCAAUUGUGCAUUAAAUGUGGCCUAGUAUUUCAGAAAAUUGAUUUGGUCCAAUUUUGCAACAAAUAUAUGGUAGGUCCUUCACAAAAAAACUCAUUUCGGGCACUCGGAAAAUGGAAAAUGAAUUUUCCGUGCAAAAAAAUUAAAACUCCCUUAGGUGACAUUGUUUGGAAUUCCAUCAUGCACCCAUGUGCACAAUAUUAGAUCUUUUGAACAAACUAUGCCAUGAAUCUGGCCAUAAGAUUGAUCAUCUGGCUUGAAAGCCAUUGAUCUCCACACAUGAUAGCUCAUUUCCGAGAACACUUUUUAAAAAUAAUUGCCGUGUUACAUGUUUAUUAUUUUUCCUAGCAACUUGGUCACAUAUAAUGACACAAUCUGAAGGUUUUCCAAUUUUUUGAUUUUUUUGAAUUUUUAUGCCCGUUUCAAAAUGCGGUUAAAACGGCGGGCUUGACCGUUCAUAGCUAGUGGUUGAAUCUUGGAAAACUUUUCAUGCUUCUCUGAUUAAAUAGAUACUUUUGUACCAAGAAAUGAUUUUUGGAAAAAAUAAAUAGUAAACUAUGAGGCAGCUGCAGUUCAAAUUUGAGCCGCUUCCUACUAAAUCGGCGGAAAUUUGUCUUUUUCACCAGAGGUGGAUAAAAAACAUUUACACCCAACCAUUUUGUCAAUUGUGCAUUAAACAUGGCCUAGUAUUUUAUAAAAUUGAUUUGGUCCAUUUUUGCAAUAAUUAUUUGGUAGUUCCUUCACAAAAAAUCCUCAUUUCGGGCACUCAAAAAAUGGAAAAUGAAUUUUCCGUGCAAAGAAAAUGAAAACUCCCUUAGGCAACAUUGUUUGGAAUUCCAAUAUGCACCCUUGUGUGCAAUAUGAGAUCAUUUGAACAAACUAUGCCAUGAAUAUGGCCAUAAGAUUGAUCAUUUGGCUUCAAAGCCACUAAUCUUCAUGCAUGAUAGCUCGUUUCUGAGAACACUUUUUAAAAAUAAUUAUCGUAGUACAAGUUUAUUAUUUUUCCUGGUAACUUGGCCACAUAAUGACACAAUGCGAACGUUUUCCAAUUUUUUGAUUUUUUUGAAUUUUUUAUGCCCGUUUCAAAAUGCGGUCAAAACGGCGGGCAUGAUUGUUCCUAGCUAGUGGUUGAAUCUUGGAAAAAUUUUGGGAUUUCUCUCAUUAAAUUAAAUAGAUACUUAUGUACCUAGAAAUAAUUUUUGGAAAAAAUAAAGAGCAAACUAUGAGGCAGCUGUAGUUCAAAUUUGACCCGCCUCCAACUGAAUCGGCGGGAAUUUGUCUUUUUCACCAGAGGUGGAUCAAAACUUUUGACACCCAACCAUUUUGUAAAUUGUGCAUUAAACAUGGCCUAGUAUUUUAGGAAAUUGAUUUGGUCCAAUUUUGCAACAAAUAUAUGGUAGGUCCUUCACAAAAAUACUUAAUUUUAGGCACUCGAAAAAUGGAAAAUGAUUUUUUCGUGCAAAGAAAAUGAAAACUUUCUUAGGCAACAUUGUUUGUCAUUCCAACAUGCACCCUUGUGCACAAUAUGAGAUCAUUCGAACAAACUAUGCCAUGAAUGUGGUCAUAAGAUUGAUCAUUUGGCUUGAAAGCCAUGAAUCUCGACACAUGAUAGCUCAUUUCUGAGAACACUUUUUUAAAAUAAUUGCCGUAUUACAAGUUUAUUAGUUUUUCCUGGAAACUUGGUCAUAUAUAAUGACAUAAUGCGAAGGUUUUCCAAUUUUUUGAUUUUUUUGAAUUUUUUAUGCCCGUUUCAAAAUGCAGUCAAAAUGGCGGGCUUGACCGUUUGUAGCUAGUGGUUGAAUCUUGGAAUUUUUUUGGUGUUUCUCUGAUUAAAUAGAUACUUAUGUACCUAGAAAUGAUUUUUGGAAAAAAUAAAGAGAAACUAUGAGGCAGCUGCAGUUCAAAUUUGACCCACUUCCUGCUGAAUUGGUGGGAAUUUUUCUUUUUCACCAGAGGUGGAUUAAAACUUUUGACACCCAACCAUUUAGUGAAUUGUGCAUUAAACAUGGCCUAGUAUUUUAGAAAUUUGAUUUGGUACAAAUUUACAACAAAUAUAUUAUUGGUCCGUCACAAAAAAUCUUAUUUUUGACACUCGAAAAAUAAUUAAAUAUAACUACAAAGAUCAGAAAUGCAUACAAAUUAGUGCUCAUCCAUAAAAUGUGGUCUACCUUGAGUGAAAAUUUAUGUGAUGCCCUUUUCCAAAAUAUUUUUAAUAGGUGCUUCGCAAAAUAGCUCUAUUUAAAUCACUGUUUUUUCGAACCAAUCAAAACUCUUCCCAUGGAUCGAUGACAUGGUGCCCUUCCAUCCAUCCAUCCCUAUCUCCAUCCCACAUCCAUCCGUCCAUCCGUCCAUCCAUCCAUCUAUCUACAGAAAAAAGAAAAAGAGAUAACCCCGCAGCCCAAACCCUAGAUCAGAUCCUCACAUCGUACCCCUCCUCCCCACUCCCAAUCUCCCUGCCGCCACCUCUUCCGACCUUGCCAUCCUCCUCACCCACCACCGCCGACCUCAUCCCUCCCUCCCCUCACCAUCUCUCCCUACCCUAACUCCCAUCGAUGCCCUCUCAUCCUCUCCCCCGAUUCAGAUCGACCACCGUCUGCCCCCUAACCCGAUUCAGAUCGACCACGCCUCACCGGAGAGAGAGAGGCGUCGCCACCAGCGACUAUGGCUGGCUUGCUCACCGGCGCGCGUCUGCGUGCUUCGAAUCCUUCGAUGUGCGACGCUCCAUGGGGCUGGCUCGACCGCGGCGCGCGUUUGGCUUGCCUAGGGUUGGCGGUGGCAGCGCUGCACGCCGUGUCUCCGGCCACCACGACGACGAUGGCGCGAACCUCGGAGACCGUCGUCCACCUCCCACUGCACGACGGGUUCGUCGUCAUCCCACGGCCCGCCCACUCCUCGGCCGCCUCCCGGGCACGGCGCGCCCCCACCUCUCCGACUCCCCCUCACCCUCCGCCCCCACCAACUCGGUCCGCUUCGCCGCCCGUAGCGGCAGCUCCCCCGCCGUCUCCCUCCGCGCCUCCGCGCCGUCAGAUCCAUGGUCAAACCAGAUGUUGGAUGUUCUCCUCCACGCAUAUUUUUAAAGUGAAAUACGUAGGAUCAUUUUAUCUUGGAAGGAUUUGGAUCGAAUCCCCUUGGCAGACUUCUUCUAUUGUGAGAACCGGUAAAAUGAAGCCAGAUUAAUGCGUAGCUGCAUACCAUGUGAAAUAUGCAGCGAUGGCCAUAGGGGCUGAUCUUGAUGUAGCGGUGGCGCGCCUCAUUAUGUUGAUUCAGUCAGCUGAAAAUUGUCAAUUGGAGAUUGGUGAGUGCGUAAUUGAUGGCGUUGCCUGGCAUGUAUUGCCUAAGUUAGUUGCCUGCUAGUAGCUUGUGUUCUAGAGUGGUUGUCCCCACUAGGCUUAUAAUCAGCGUGACUCCAUCCUAAUUGCAGAUCUUCCAUCCACGACUGUGGGAGUCCUGGAUUAGGGGGUCUCCGGACAGCCGGACUAUCUCCAUUGGCCGGACUGUUAGACUGUGAAGAUACAAGAUUGAAGACUUCAUCUCGUGUCCGGAUGGGACUCUACUUGGCGUGGAAGGCAAGCUAGGCAAUACCUAUAUGGAUAUCUCCUCCUUUGUAACCGACCUUCUAUAACCCUAACCCUCUCCGGUGUCUAUAUAAACCGAAGGGUUUUAGUGCAUAGGACAACAAUCACAACGUACAAUCAUACCAUAGGCAAGCUUCUAGGGUUUAGCCUCACUACUAGGGAAAAUCCUAGCAGCAACGCGGGUUUUCGGCCUUUUAGUAGCGCGGGGGCCGGCGCUACUAAUAAGGCGCUACAGCUAACGUAUAGCAGUAGCGCUGGUCCACCCACGCUACUGCUACACAAGUGUUGCAGCAGCGCGCUUAAAGGAACCUCGCUACUGCUAAUAGCUAUAGCGCGCUUCCCCUGUGCGCGCUACUGCUACAACUGCGCUGCUGCUAACUUUUCUCCACUCGCUACUGCUAAUUUUAGUAGUUUUUUGUUUUUUUCAGCAUAUUUGUUUUGUAUUUGAACAGGCUUUAUAGAAGAAUCUUUAGCACAUACAAAUGUCAUCGUGAUACACAUACAAAUGCCUGCGAGACCACAAAUGUAAUCAUAGCAUAUACAUACAAAUAGUCUCGUCAUAAUCAUCAUCCAACACAAAGUGGUAUCUUGUCAUCAUCUCGAAUAUAGCGAUACAUGCAAGUCUUGAAUACUUGCAACUACAACAUCAUCCAUCUAAACAAAGGUAUACGCGAGAAGAGCUAUCACUAUGAGUGAGAGCGGAACUAUGCAGUACAUGAGAUGGCGGUUACGAGUCCUCUCUCGCGCUAGCGUGAACCUCAAGUAACUAGCUUCUCCUUCUUGUUUGCUUUUGAAGCCUUUAUGGCUGGCAUCCGAGAACCCAUUCACUUGCGCCUGACACUCAUGCCACUCGUUGUACACCCCCGGAACCUUCAUUUUGUACACGACAUAGCAGUUCCAUCUCGCCAUCAAGAAACUAGGUACCUGUUAGAGAUGCAUGUUCAUGAAGAGGAUGUACAAUCAUAUAUAUGCAACAAAAUAUACUAGAGAACACCGAAAAAGAAAGGUUUAGCAACUAGAUGCAACAUACAGUACGCAAAUUAAUUAACUAGUGGUACGCAGGUCAUCGUACACAAACUAACAAAGUAGCGUUACGCAAGUUCGGCAGGGAUCAUGGACAUCACAAAGUUGCAUCUCUACAAAUAGUAUACAAGUUCAACCGACACAUAUCAUCAUCAUCGGCAUCAUAAAUCACUAGAAGUUCCAUCCUUCCAUAUCAUCGAGGAUGGACCCUAGCUUCUUGAACGGCAUGAGGUCUAGACGUUGCAUGCCUAUGCGAGUUCGGACGUCAGCUCGCGAUAUAGGGCCGUGGUGGAACAUCCCCUUCUCAUCGACGACUUCUUUCAUGAUGAUCAUUGCAAUGUCACUUUGGAUGCGAAAGAAGUCAUCUCUAUGUUUAUAAUCCGCUUCUCCAUGAGAUUCUAGCCACUUGUGGAUAUGAUCAUCAUUUCUUCUUCUCAUGCGAAGCUUUUGGUGAUCCGUGUUGAACUGAAUCAUGAGAUGGAGGAUGUACAAUCCAUCCUUCUUGCUUGGUUUUGGGACUUGGAUGCAGGAGAAGUUAGUUUUAUGCGCGAAACCCAUCUUCGUGUUCCUUUGUUUCCUAAUCUGCAUGUGGCCACCUCUAAAGUUGAAGCCUUGGAGAGCAUCAUCUAGAAUAUUCAUUAUGUGGGUGUAGUCUUUUUUCUCGUAGUCUCUGGAAGGGUCAAAAUACACGGCGUGGGAGACUUGCAGAUAAAGAACGAUAAGGACAGCGUGCCCGUUGCUGCGGGGAAAAGACACCUCAAAUUAUUCCCCAUAGAGAGAGAAGGAAUGAUUGAAAUGUAUGAAAGGGUUGUUCGAAACUGACUUACUUUGGAUGAUAAGGCACGAGGACAAUUUCCCAGUCCUUAUUCUGUACCAUGAAGUUUUGGAGGUAGUCCCUAGCAGUUUCACGCUCAAAGUCACCGAGACUCAAGAAAGACUCGUGCAUGUAGUACGGAUCCGCCACACAGAUUUGCGAGACUUCUUCACUGUUCAUGACAGAGCUCAUAUGUAGCGCAAAAAGGCGGAUCCGCCACAUAGAAUCUUGGACAGGGGUUCCUUAGCCCCAAUAGCUCGUUUCACCCUCGAUUUCCAGGAGGCCAAAUCAUUGCUGAACAUGCCCAUGGCGUGAUUGUUAAUAUUUUUCAUCUUCGGAUCAUCCCACGGUUGUUCUAUGUUAUCAUCCCGAUCGGGGAACUUGAAUCUCUUGUGCAACUUCGUUAGCAACAACUGCGUCAAAUGUUCUUUACUCCUUAAGUCAUCGUCAUUGAUGCUCGUGCAUUCCCAUAGGAUGCAUCCUACUUGGUUCCCAUAGUACUUGCGAGGUUCUUCCGGCUCUAACGGCUCAAACUUGCCAGGUGCCAUCUUUGUGAUCACAAGUCGUCUAAUCCCUAGUUUGUUAGGUUUUCAUAUCCUCUGCUUCUUAUGCCUCUUUUUGGUACCGGCAUCGGCGCCGGUAUCUUCCCCACUGGUACCUUCCCCACCGGUCUCGGCACCGCCAUCGGUGCCGGCGCCAUCAGUGUCGGUGUCUGCAUCAGUACCAUCAUCGAGGCGGACCUGCAAACCUUGCUUAGCGGUCAAAAAGUCGAGGUAGUCUUGUUCACCCUCAUAAUCCAUCUCGUCUGCAUCUUGGUCAGAAGGCCUAGUUUCUUCGUUGUUCGACAUGUUUCCUAUGAUUAAGUGUCCUCAUUUAUUUCUAAAAGUAUGAAUAAAUGAGAAAUGAGAUAAAAAGAAAUCUAUGUGCCAGCACUCGAUAUGCCAACUAUGUAGCACAAAUCAUGCCUUUAUUCACGGGAAAUUUCGGGAUGACCUUUGCUAAAAAAAUGGACAUAUCGAGCGCCUGAAAUUCACCGGAACGGAAAUGAAUCAACAUUCCGGCGUAACAUAGGCAACUCGGGUCAUUUACCAAAACAUGACAUGUCCAAAACAUGACAUAUCCACAUAUCACAUGUCCAGUUCAAAUUUGCAUAUAAAUUCAGCAAAUUUUGAAACCUAUCUAAAUUCGUAACUAAAUAGAUAACCUAAUUAACAUAACUAAAACCUAAGUAAAUUAACCCUAGCUAGCAGAGAGAGAGAGGGGGGGUGGUUUACAGAAGGUGCAGGGCGAGGAGGCAGGCCCGACGACGAUCNNNNNNNNNNNNNNNNNNNNNNNNNNNNNNNNNNNNNNNNNNNNNNNNNNNNNNNNNNNNNNNNNNNNNNNNNNNNNNNNNNNNNNNNNNNNNNNNNNNNNNNNNNNNNNNNNNNNNNNNNNNNNNNNNNNNNNNNNNNNNNNNNNNNNNNNNNNNNNNNNNNNNNNNNNNNNNNNNNNNNNNNNNNNNNNNNNNNNNNNNNNNNNNNNNNNNNNNNNNNNNNNNNNNNNNNNNNNNNNNNNNNNNNNNNNNNNNNNNNNNNNNNNNNNNNNNNNNNNNNNNNNNNNNNNNNNNNNNNNNNNNNNNNNNNNNNNNNNNNNNNNNNNNNNNNNNNNNNNNNNNNNNNNNNNNNNNNNNNNNNNNNNNNNNNNNNNNNNNNNNNNNNNNNNNNNNNNNNNNNNNNNNNNNNNNNNNNNNNNNNNNNNNNNNNNNNNNNNNNNNNNNNNNNNNNNNNNNNNNNNNNNNNNNNNNNNNNNNNNNNNNNNNNNNNNNNNNNNNNNNNNNNNNNNNNNNNNNNNNGGCGCCGGGGGCGAGCGCGCCUCGGUCGGGGGCGAGCGCGCCGGGGUCGGGGGCGGGCGCGGCGGUGCGACGGGGUCGGGGAAGAGAGAGUGGGGAUUUGGGGGAAAAGAGGCGGGAUGAAGCAGGGAGCGGGAGAAUUUUGGGUUAAGUGGACAUAGCAGUAGCGCGUUUACACGAAACGCGCUACUACUAUUACGAGCAGCUAUAGCGAUUUUCUGCCAAAACCGCUACUGCUACCUUGACUAGCUAUAGCUCUUUUUCACUAAAGCGCUACUGCUAUAACUAGUUUUCCUUUGUUCUUUUCCUUAGCAUAAUAGGAACACAUAUAUUACAUCAUUGGACCCUUGCAUAAUAAUGGCUAAGUGUGUAUACAAAAUAGGAACAUAUAUAUAUUACAUCCACUACAACAAAAACAGCCAGUAGACACGCCCAAUUUCAUACCUAGCGACGUGUUAUUUCAUCUCUAGCCAACUAUAGAGCCGUUUUAGUAAAGCGUCCUUGGAGCGUCUUCCCACGGACCGUCUCAAACAAAUAGACACGCUUGCCAAGCGUGUCUUACAUGGAAUGAGACGCUUUCUCACGAUGUUCAAAAUCGUAUCUACAUGUAGAGACGUUGUCUUAGGCAUGCUCAAAAAUCGUAUCUACAUGUAGAGACGUUAGGUUAGGCAUGCUCAAAAAUCGUAUCUACAUGUAGAGACAUUAGGUUAGGCAUGCUCAUAUUACGUCUCUACUCAUAGACACGUUUCAUUCGCCUCUUAUACUCGUCUCUAAAUGUCCAUAAGAAAAUUUAUACAAAUGGAAUAUUUUACUUUAAAUAUUAUUUGAUUAAUUUCAAUUUUGUUUCAUCGUUUCAAAUGCAAUUAUUUUUAGUGUCAUGGUUGCACAUGCAAAUUGGUCAAAUAAUAUUGUGAUACGAAGGCAUCAUUCCACUUCAUCGAUUGCAUUUGCAAACAUUGGCAACCUCAAUAACAACAUCCAAUGCAUUAAUUAGACUGGAACUAUUUUUCUCUAUGAAGCUAAAAGUACAUGGAGUUCACAGCUGAAUAAUAUCAAACAUUCAUAUGAAACAUGCAAUGAUGAAAAUAAAUAAGAAAAGAUCCUAUAGACUGGAACUAUUUUUCUCUAUGAAGCUAAAAUCUAUACAUAAUCCAGAAUAUUUGUUCAUUCAAAGAUAGAUUAAUCAAACUGCUCUUGACUCCUCCAGUGCACUCCCUUUUCAAAUCCUCAACUACCCAGCCACUCCUAGCUCCUUUAAUGCACUCACUUUUCAAAUCCU